rnacentral:lncRNA from 1 species
ACAUGCACAAUCUCAACUCUCUUGAGGAUUUGAGCAUCGACUACCGUGAAGGUUUGACUUUUCCUCCCAACCUAACAUCACUUGAUCUUUGGAAGGUCAAGAGUUGUAAGUCAUUGUGGGAGUUGGAGUGGGGGUUGCACAGACUCACCUCUCUUAGAUACUUGUAUAUCGACAGUGAAGACCCGGAUACGGUGUCGUUUCCACCCGACAUGGUACGGAUGGAGACGCUCUUCCCCAAAUCUCUCACUAACCUCGCAAUAGGUGGCUUCCCGAAUCUAAAGAAACUGAGCAGCAAGGGCUUUCAAUUCCUCACCUCCCUUCAAUCUCUGAAACUCUUCCGUUGUCCAAAGCUAGCAUCUAUUCCAAAGGAGGGUCUGCCUCCUUCGCUAGAGGAACUUUGGAUCGAAGGGUGUCCAGUGCUAAAAGAGAGAUGUCAACCAGGAAAAGGACGCUACUGGCACAAAAUAUCCCACAUCCCUUACAUAAGGAUAGAUUAUAAGAAGAUAUGAAGCUGAUGGUCCAGGUAUCAUCUCUCGAGGAAUGUUUUAAUAUUAAUAUUAUUAUUAUUAAUAUCUCACAUCCCUUUCAUAAGCAUAGAUUGGGAGUUGAUAUGAAGCUGAUGGUCCAGGUAUCAUCUCUCAAGGAAUGUUUUAAUAUUAAUAUUAUUAUUAUUAUUAAUCAUCUUUAUUCUUGUAAAGUAAAGUAAUCCACAUAUUUUGGUUUGGGUCAAGGCUUUGGGGGUUGAGGAGUGGCUACUUUGGGAGGCCUUUCAAUUGGCGUCAACGGGGAUAUUUCUCCGCCAACGUUUCUUCUCCCAGAUUCCUAUAUUUGCUUCUUUCUUUCUUUUUUUUAUUGGUAAACGAUUGCUAUGUUUGCUUGGUCCCUUUUCAUUGAUUUGUAUUAUAACUUUAUAAAUGUGCUACUCUUUCUCCCAGCAAGAUUUUAAUCAGGCCACUUUAAUCUAAUCUUUUAUUUUAUUUUAGCAAAUUUUGACUUAUGAGCUAGUAAUGCAUUUUAUUUAAUGCAUCGAGAAUAAGCAAUCAACAAAGAAAUGGAAAUGUAAAGAGCUCGUUGCUCAAGUGGGUACAAGAGUGAUUUUACCCUUGGCCGUUUGUUAUGCACUUGCUAGAGGCUUGUGGAACGAUGACCACUAAAUGACUUCCUUUACUAUAACUUGUCUUCCUGAAAGUAGAAAAUACGUGCCAACGAAUUUUGGUCAAUCAAAUCCUUAUACCAAGCCUUCAUCACUUGUUCAAAAAAUGCAUUAUUCAUCUAAUUGAUAUGUGAUAAAUUGGUGAUGAUUAUGCAUUUUAACCGAGUUCUAAGGAAAAUUGAAGAUAGUAAUACAUCAGUACUAAAACUACAAAAUAUUACUGAAUUUGUAUACUUAUUACUUGGGUGCCCUCUGCCUUGCUGUGCUGAAUAACAAUGAGAAUAUAUUACUGAAUUCUAGCAGGAAAAAGGCAGGCCACUCUCAAAAUUUGGUGAAUGGGACGUCAAUGAUCCUGCUUCAGCUGAGGGGUUUACUGUGAUCUUUAACAAGGCUAGGGAUGAGAAGAAGACAGGUGGAAAACCGGAGUCACCAGGAAAGGUUGAUCCUAAUAUCAGGCAUGGAGGAGUGGAUACUGGCACUGGCACUGGCAGGCCUUCGUCUGUAAGAUUUUUUCUCAUAACUCUGUCUCAUUUCUUUGUCUAAUGAUUUGAUAAUAUACACAUGAGACAGCCAAUAGCAAUACAUUCUUUACGGUUUUCUUAGUUGCAAGUUAUUGCUUUUCAAGUGACGUCAGUAGUACAACACAGCAUACCAUUUGAUGUGAAAAUCAAUGCAACUGACUUAUAUAGAACUCUAGUAAGGAAAUGUGGCAAAAGACAGAUCUAAUGUUAGGGCCAAGAUAUUUGAAAAAUAAAAGAACACAAGAUGAUUCGGCUGUUUUAUCUGCAUUAUUCCAUGGGAGUGGAAUUGGCAUACGUUAACUUCACUCAGGUUCCAUCUCCUUUUAGACAGAUGUAGCCUAAUAGGAACAUUUGUUUGUUUUAUUGUGAACAAUUGAAAGAACUAUUGGCCCUUGAAAUAUUUGCUCUUGUCAAUUGAUCAUUGUGUGGCCUUUUCGUUUUCUGUGUCUGCUGCAUUUCCAAUUAGUAGAAUAAUAGAACGAAUAACUGGACGGUAAUUAUUUCUGCUGCCAAAAUCUAAUAUGCUUAAAUUCCUCACUCUUUGUGGAUGAUUUGAUUUGGUUUGAUUUCCUGGUGCACAGAAAAAAUGGUUUUGCAGCAUUCAUCAACCACCAGCAGUUUUGUUGACAAUGUUGUUCUCCUAAGUGCUCCGAUGGAGGAGCACGGUGUUCUGUAACUGGCUCCACUAUAUUUCCUCUCUCACUGUAUGUCUAUGAAAUUGGCAGCCGGGUAAGUGAAGUUUGAAGCAAUGGUUAGCAGUUUGCCUAAGGAAAUCGUACAUGAUAUCCUUUUGAGACUACCUCCUAAAGCUUUGAUGAGAUGCACCUCGGUGUCCAAGCCUUGGAACUCCAUGAUAAAAAGUCCCAGCUUUAUUCGCACCAAGGUAUAAAAUAUCAAUGAUAUCGGAAAUGUCGGUAGUCCAAAAACACGGAAAUUUCGAUGGAAAUAUCGGGAUAUUAUCGAUAUCGAUAAAAAUUGAAUAAAAACCAUGGAAAUUGUUAGAAAAACUUGGAAAUUUUUAUUGAAACUUUGCUGGAUGUUUAUUUAGUCAAUUAUCUAUUAGUUUAUUACAAAAAAUUGGAAGGAAAUGCAUUGCAUGAUAGAUAUAACUGAUUUAAAUUGAUUAUAUAGCGAGCUGGCAAACAUGGUGAGUGUAGAAAAUAUGUAGUAAUUAAUGAAAGAAGUUUAAACACACCAUAAUCAUUUAUAUAUAAUGAAUUAGUACAAUAUUUUACACUUUAUACAUUUCAUGGUAAGAUACAUGAGUGACUUAGCAAGGUCUAAAAUAUCGAUGAUAUCGGAAAUAUCGGUAGUCCAAAAAAAUAUCACUAGUCCAAAAACGCGGAAAUUUCGAUGGAAAUAUCGGGAUAUUAUGGAUAUUUUAGACCAUGAUUCGCACCCACCUCAGCCGUACCAUCGAUUUUAAGCAGUUUGGCACCCACCGACUCCUUCUGCAUUGUGUUAGUGGAGACAAUCCAGUGGAGCAGAAUUACUAUUUGCAUUAUGAUAACCAUGCUUUUGAUGAGUACUGCAAGCUAGAGUAUCCAAGUGUUCCCAAGCGCAAGAGAUUUCUUCGUGUGGUCGGAAUGCGAGGAUCCGAAUACUUUUUAUGGGCUUAUUCACUUGCUAGAGGCUUGUGGAGUAGUCCUUGUUCUUUUGAUCCCGUUUGUAAAGUUUUUUAUUCUUGCAAAUUUCAGGCUUUUGUGAACUGGGCAGUUCAUUGGCUGGCAUGGCGCUGCUUGAACGAUGGUCGUUAUCAAAAUUUCAUUUUAGCAAUUGAUGUGGACGGUGAGUUAUUUUGCGAGAUAAGGGUGCUAAAGAGUUUCAGACAGGAUGAACCAUUAGAUUAUCACUUGUCUGUUUCAGGUGAUGGAAACUCCGUUGCUAUGUUCACGACAACGCGUGGUCGUAAUUGUCCUGAGGAUUUUCUUGACAUAUGGGUGAUGAAAGAGUAUGGCAUCGAGGAUUCAUGGGCCAAACUGAUAACUCUAAGUCCACCGGAUCCGGAAAGAAGGGUGCCCUACAAGCCCUUAUGUUUUAGGAACAAUGGUGAAGUAGUGUCCUGACUUUAUCACUUGUUCUAGUAAAAAACGUCGCAUGUACUGGGAUUUUCUCAGGGAUGCCUUGUGAUAUUCUGACAUGGGUAAAUUGUAGCAAUGGUCCCUCAUUUUUUAAUCAAAUUGGAGCAAUGAUUCGUCAACUAAAAUUUCAUUACCAUUGGUCCCUCAAUUUAUGAAAAUGUGUAGCUAUAGUCAUAUUCAUCAAUUUUGUCUAAAUAAGUUAUGUUGGAAUAAUCAUUUAUAUAAUUAGGGUCCCUCAAUUCAUCAAAGUGUGUAAUUAAGGUUCUUUUCGUCAACUACGUCAAAAUUUUUGUCAAAACGAGUUAUGUUGGACGGAUCAUUGCUACAAUUAGGUUAAAGUUAAGGGACUAUUUCUCCAGUUGAAUUAAAGUUGAGGGAUCAAUGGUAAUAGAUUUUUAGUUAAGAGACCAUAGCUGCACAUUUUGAUGAGUUGAGGGACCAAUAAUAAUGAAUUUUUAGUUGAGUGACCAUUGCUCCAAUUGAGUUAAAGUUAAGAGACCAUAGCUACAAUUUACUCUUCUAACAUUGCUGGAUGUUAGCUAGAGAUGAACAUUUUUCCUUUAGUUUGUCUGUUAAUUUAGAGACCUAGAAGAAGUUGCUUAUCACAACAUGUUGCCAAUGUUCAUGGAUAUAUACAGUUAAAUUAAUUUCUUUGAAAUUGCUUGUGAUAUUUUCGUGCCAAAUAGGAAGAGAAGAAAAUUGCAUAUCUUAUUUUUUUAGCUCUAAUAAGAUUUAUCUAGUCACGAGACUUUUACAAUAACUUUUGCUCCUAUGGUCAACCAAAAUAAUAAUAUUACAGUAGAGACUAGUAGUCCAUUAGUAAUUGUGUGUUCAACUGAAAGCAGCGAGAAAAAUACGUACCUUUUUCUCUUCUCUGUUUUCAAAGAAUUUUUUAUCUUCUUCCUCUGCAACCCUUGCAUGCAGGUUUGGCAGUAAAGUAAGUUUCCGCGCAAUUAAAAUAAUGGCAAACUAAUCUUUCGGUUUCGUACGAAGAUAGGAUAAUUUAUACUAAAUUAUUUUUUUGUCUUUUAUUAAAGAAUACAUUUAUAAAAAAAUAAAAAAAGAAGUUUUAAGUGUUUGGGAUCUUUUAAAUACCAAUUUCAAUACAGCUAUUAGUUUAAGUAACAUAAUUUUUAGUUUAGGUGCCAAUGAAAAAAUCAACUAAAAUAAUUCUAUAAAAACUAUUAUAAUUCAAAAUAAUUAUACGAUUGCCGCGUUUUCCGACCUGCCAACUGUAUUCGCAACCACCUCACCCUUACAAUCAAUCUUAAUAACCACGUUUCGACUGACCUCCUUGUACUGCAUUGUAUUCGCAUACACGAGCCAAGGGAGGAGCAUUAGUAUUUGCAUUAUGAUAAAUAACCAUGAUUUUGAUGAGUACUGUAGACUAGAAUUUCCAAUCAUUCCCAAGGGAGAAUGGUUUAAUACGACCUAUAGACUACAAGAACUCAAAUUCCUUUUUUGUUAUCUUCUGUAAACCAUCCAUUAGAGCUCUCGGCAGGCAGUGACCAUUUUUGAGGAAUGACUAGACACAUGUUGGGGCAUCAUCAUGACAUCAUAGGUGAACAAUACGAUUUCGCGUUUAAGUUUCUCUCUAUAUACAUCGUGUUAACUUUGUUUUUCUACUUUCCUAGCACGUUCCGGUUCGUGUAUUUUCAGUUUUUGUAUAGUGGAAAGGUCAAGUUGGUAGUAGAUUGACAUAGCGAAAAAAUUACUUGUCACUAAUUCAGUUUACCAAGCUUAAUUGGUCUCUCUUAACUUACAAAAUUGUCAUAAUAAGCUAGUAGUUUCACUUCAUGGAAAUCUUGCUCAAUGUUGUUUGACUUGUUUCCCUUCUUAAACAUCGAUCGAGAUGUUCGUUAAUUAAAUGCUAAUAAUACUUGCUCUUCACCUUCAAAUGGAUCAUAAGUUAAUAUAGCUCUGUGAUUAAUUAAGUAGUAUGACUCCAAAAUGGUAAAAGCAUAAUCCAUGAUAAUUUUGGUAAAUCUGAUCUCGGCAAGAUCAUGUUCUUCUCUUCUUGUUGUGUGGCUCACGUUGUUUCAGAGUCUUUUACUGUUUAAAAUUAAUUACUAUUCCACCCGAAGUUUCACGUUUGGGUCCUCUUCUUAUAGCGGAAACGAAAAAGUAUAACCGUGUAGGAUAUUUGCGAUAAGAAAGCAAUCAAAAAGAAAACAAUAUGACCCCACGAAAAAUAAAGAGAGAACAAAAACAAGGAAUCUUUCUUUCUUUACGGGCAGAAAGAUGAAGACAUGUUAGUCUUUUAACACGUAUCGCAAUGGCAAAUUGAAGUAGUUAUCGUCGAAAGAGGAAGACUUGUUAUAGUCUUUCAAGUCGACACCUAAUUAUCCUAGCAAAUUGAUCUGUAAAGUAGUCUACAAAAACUCAAAUUCCAUUUAAACUACCUGUUUUAUUAAAGGAAUAUACUAUCCGCAUAUCUAUUUUUACUUAUCAGACACUCUUUUUUACUUCUCACAUCCCCUUUGUUAACUUUUGUCCUUUGAUCUACUUCAAUUCAUCCGAUCCGACACCGAAAAUUAAAAUGAUGUGUGAGAAGUAAAAAAAGGUGUGUGGAUAUCACACCAUUUUACUAAAUCCUAAAUUGUAUAACUCCUUCAAAUAUAUCAAAGGCGAAUAUGGUACCUUCUGUAAACAAUCCGGUAGAGCUCUCAGCAGGCAAUGAUAAUAUUUAGGGAAUGACUAGACACAUGUUGGGACGUUAUCGUGACAUCAUGGGUUAACAAUACAAUUUGUGUUUAAAUUUCUCUUCACUAGCUUAGUUUUUCUACUUUCCUAACAUGUUCGGGUUCGUGCAUUUUCAGCUUUUGGGUAGUGGAAAAGUCAAGUUGCUGGUAGACUAAGUAGUGAACAAGUAGAUUCACACGGCAAUACAUAAGUCAAAAAUUACUCGUCACUAAUUCAGUUCUACCGAGUUUAGUUUGUCUCUCUUAAUCUUCAAACUUACAUAAUAAGCUAGUAAUUUCACUUCAUGAAAAUCUUGCUCAAAGUUGUUUGACUUGUUUCCUUUCUUUAGCAGCUAGACGUUCAAUUAUAUGCUAAUAAAACUUGCUCUUCAUCUUCAAUUGAUCUAAAAUAUAGCUCUGCGACUAAUUAAGUAGUAUGACUACAAGAUGGUUAACAAUAAUCCAUGGUAACCUUUUGCAGGAUCAUUUUCUUCUUCUUUGUGUUGUGUGGCUUAGGCUGUUUGAGUCUUUUACUACUUUAAAUUAAUUUAAGGAAAACUAAUGAAAAUGACUUGAAAACUUUGAGUUUUAACGAAAAUGACAAAAAUGUGUUGUAAAUGAAUAGUAUCAAUAUUGACUUUUUAGAGUAAAAAUGUGAUUUUUUGUUAAAGUAACAGUACCUUGAGUUUUUCUUCGUUAAAGUUUCGUUAAAUUUAUUGUCUCAACAUUAUCUACAAUGGCCUAAAAAAUUAAUCACCCUUUCAAACUAAUAUAAUCGGUAUUGCAAGAAAUGCAACUCAGUUGUUUACCAGCAAUCACCCUUUCACCCUAAAUUGCGUGUUUGGUUCCUCAUCUCCCAAAAUCGUUCGUAUAAAUGAAAAGAAAAUGUAUAACCGUGUAGGACAUAGGAGAUAAGAAAGCAAUUAAAAAGAUAAAAGAGGAAUCUGUCUUUUUUGGCAGAAAGAGGAAGACUUGUUAUAGUCUUUCAACACCUAAUCAUCAUUGCAAUUUGAAGAGCCUCGACUAGAAGAAAAAGACGUCUUAUGUACUCGGAAUUUUCUCCGGGAUGCCUUGUGAUAUUCUGAUAUUGCUGCUAGAAAUAAACAUUUUUCCUUAAGUUUGUCUGCUAAUUUACCGUCCUAGAAAAAGUUGCUUAUCACAACAUGUUGCCAAUGUUCAUGGACAUAUACAGUUAAUGAGUUUCUAUGAAAAUGUUGUCGAUAUUUUCGUGCCAAAUGUUGAGUGCAUCAUCUAUUUGUUGUAGCCUUAAUUUCUAGUUGCCCUCCAACUUUCAACGUUGCUUUGCUUAAUUGCAAACCUUUCAUCUCUUAUUGUGCUUUCUUCUCAAUAUUCUCACACCUCUAUAAGGCGAGAAGCAAAUUACAUAUCUCGGUUUCAAAGCUUUAAUAAGAUUUAUAUCUCUCUCAUUACAAAACUUUUACAAUAAAUUUUCCUCCCAUGGUCUAUCAAAAUAAUAAUAUUUCAGCAGCGACUAUCUAUUAUCAUAAAUUUUGGUGCAUUUGAAAGCAGCGAGAACAAUACAUUUUUAUUUUAUUUUUUCUCAAAUAAAUUUUUUGGUCAUUUUCCUCUGCAACCCUUGAGUUUCAACCCACUUUAUUUAUAAGAGUGAGGAGAACAAAUUUUUAAACCAAAUUUUGUAAAUAAAAUGAUAUGUCACUAAUAAAAAAUAAGUACGUUAAUUAAUACUUGAAUAAUUUGAUCUCUCUAACAUUAUUCUUAAAAUAAUGGUAAACUAAUUUUUUUAUUUAUUUUUACGAAUGAUAGAAUAAUCUAUUAAACUAUUGUGUUUUUUUUCUUUUUGUGAACAAUAAGACAAUAAACUAUUAUUUCGCCUUUUAUUAAAGAGUACUAAAAAAACGAAGUUUUUGAGAUCUUUUAAGUACCAAUUCCAAUAAAACUUUCAGGGUAAGUAACGUGAUUUUUAGUUUACAAAUAUUAAAAAAAACUAAUGAAAAUGACUUGAAAAUUUUGAGUUUUAAUGAAAAAGACAAAAAUGUGUUGUAAGUGAAUAGUACCAGAAUUGACAUUUUAAAGUAAAAAUGUGGUUUUUUGUUAAAGUGAGCAGUACCGAAAGAGUUUCGUUAAAGCUCCCAAAUACUAAUGAAAAAGUUAACCAAAAUAAAUCUACAGAUAUUAGAGCAAGUCCAUCCCUGAAAACUUUGUGCCAGCACCCAGCGUAUUUAUAUCUCCAUCGGCACCCGGAUGCAGUGUUAAAUGAGCAAGGGGGCUAUAGAAACUUCUUUUCGAACGACUCCACUCAAAGUUGUUUGGGAGCAUAUGCUCCUAUCAACUUUACACGGGACACACAAAAGAAGUACUUUGAUCCUAUUAGACGGGGAAGGGUGAAGAAGCUAGGACAGAAGGGUAGAGUUCAAGAGAGCAAAAUGCGUUUAGGAACGUGGAAUAUAGGAACCUUGACGGGAAAAUCUAUGGAAGUAGUAGAAGUUAUGGUGAGGAGAAGGAUAAAUAUUAUGUGCCUACAAGAAACUAAGUGGGUUGGGCGUAAGGCAAAGGAUCUAGAAAACUCAGGGUUUAAACUAUGGUAUUCGGGCACAAAUAGAACGAGAAACGGUGUUGGCAUCAUCGUGGACAAGACCUUGACACAAGAUGUUGUAGAUGUCAAGAGGGUAGGAGAUAGAAUCAUGGCAAUCAAGAUUGUAAUAGGACAAGAACUUAUCAAUGUGAUUAGUGCGUACGCACCUCAAGUAGGGUUGGAUACGAGUUCGAAGGAGAAAUUUUGGGAAGACCUUGGAGACUUGGUGCAAGGAAUUGCUCAGACGGAGAAGUUAUUUAUAGGAGGAGAUUUAAAUGGACACGUGGGCAGGGAGACAGGCAACUAUGGAGGUUUUCAUGGUGGCCAUGGUUUUGGGGAGAGAAACGAGGAUGGGGAAGCUAUCUUGGAUUUUGCAAUGGCAUAUGAUCUCUUCUUAGCCAACACCUUCUUUAAGAAGCGGGAAGAACAUGUGAUCACCUACAAGAGUGGGUCGUCAAAAACACAAAUAGAUUUUCUUCUAAUGAGGAAAAGGGAUCGUAUAACUUGUAAGGAUUGCAAAGUUAUACCAGGAGAGAGCGUGGCUAAUCAACAUCGCUUGUUGGUGAUGGAUGUACAUAUCAAAAGAGUGAGAAAAAAGAACAAGACUUGGAAGUGCCCAAGGACUAGAUGGUGGAAUCUAAAAGAAGAAAAACAAGCAAUUUUCAAAGAGAAAAUAAUCACCCAGUGUGUGUGGGAUAGAGAGGGGGAAGCUAACCAAAUGUGGGAUUCCAUGGCUAGUUGUAUCCGAAAAGUAGCAAAAGAGGUAUUAGGAGAGUCCAAGGGCUUUGCCCCACACCAAAAGGAAUCUUGGUGGUGGAGUGAGGAGGUACAAACAAAGGUGAAGGCUAAGAAGGAAUGUUGUAAAGCCUUAUACAAGGAUAGGACCGAUGAAAAUGGUGAAAGGUAUAGAAAAGCGAAGCAAGAGGUGAAGAAAGCUGUGAGAGAAGCUAAGUUAGCGGCUUAUGACGAUAUGUAUAAACGACUAGAUACCAAAGAAGGAGAGUUGGAUAUCUAUAAACUAGCUAGAGCAAGGGAAAAGAAGACAAGGGACCUAAACCAAGUGAGGUGCAUCAAGGAUGAGGAUGGAAAGGUUCUUGCUACAGAGAACGCGGUUAAAGACAGAUGGAAAGGUUAUUUUCAUAAUCUUUUCAAUGAAGGACAUGAAAGGAGUGCUUCUUUAGGGGAGUUGAGUAACUCAGAAGAGUGUAGAAACUACUCUUUUUAUCGUAGAAUCCGGAAGGAAGAAGUGGUUGUAUCUUUGAAGAAGAUGAAGCAUAGAAAAGCAGUAGGCCCAGACGAUAUACCAAUCGAAGUGUGGAAAGUUUUGGGAGAGACAGGUAUAACAUGGCUCACUGACAUUUUCAAUAGGAUUUUGAAAACGAAGAAGAUGCCAAAUGAGUGGCGAACGAGCACUUUGGUGCCUAUCUACAAGAAUAAGGGCGAUGUACAAAAUUGCAUGAACUAUAGGGGUAUUAAGCUAAUGAGUCAUACAAUGAAGCUCUGGGAGAGAGUCAUUGAGCAUAGAUUGAGGCAAGAGACACGGGUUUCGGACAACCAAUUCGGGUUCAUGCCAGGGGCGCUCAACCAUGGAGGCAAUCUAUCUCUUACGAAGAUUGAUGGAAAGAUAUAGAGAUGGGAAAAAGGAUUUACACAUGGUCUUUAUAGAUUUGGAAAAAGCGUAUGAUAGGGUCCCAAGAGACAUUCUUUGGAGGAUUUUAGAGAAGAAAGGAGUACGAGUAGCAUAUAUCCAAGCUAUACAGGAUAUGUAUGAAGGAGCAAAGACUGCCGUAAGAACUCAUGAAGGACAAACCGAAAGCUUUCCCAUAACUGUAGGAUUACAUCAAGGCUCAUCCUUAAGUCCUUACCUUUUUGCGUUGGUAAUGGAUGAGUUAACAGGACAUAUUCAAGAUGAUAUUCCUUGGUGUAUGCUUUUCGCAGACGAUAUAGUGUUGAUAGAUGAAACUCAAGAAGGGGUAAAUGCAAAGAUUAACCUUUGGAGAGAAGUGUUGGAAUCUAAAGGUCUUCGCCUAAGCCGAUCAAAGACAGAAUAUAUGGAGUGCAAGUUCAGUGCAAAUGGAGGCCAAAAACGAGUUAGGGGUGAGGAUCGGAGAUCAAGAAAUACCAAAGAGCGACCGUUUUCGUUACCUAGGAUCUAUCUUGCAAAAGAACGGAGAAUUAGAUGGAGAUCUCAACCAUAGAAUACAAGCUGGAUGGAUGAAGUGGAAGAGUGCAUCCGGCGUGUUGUGUGACCGCCGUAUGCCACUGAAGCUCAAGGGAAAAUUUUAUAGGACGGCAAUAAGGCCGGCGAUGCUGUAUGGCACAGAAUGUGGGGCGGUGAAGCAUCAACACGUACACAAAAUGGGUGUAGCGGAGAUGAGGAUGCUUCGUUGGAUGUGUGGGCACACGAGAAAGGAUAAGAUUAGGAAUGAGGAUAUCCGGGGUAAAGUAGGAGUAGCCGAAAUUGAAGGAAAGAUGAGAGAAAAUCGGUUACGGUGGUUUGGACAUGUGCAAAGAAGGCCUACUGACGCUCCGAUUAGAAGAUGCGACUAUGGGACAGAGGUUCAGGGCCGAAGGGGUAGAGGAAGACCCAGGAAAACUUUGAGAGAGACCCUAAGAAAAGACGUAGAGUACUUGGAUCUAACGGAGGACAUGACACAGGACAGAACACAAUGGCGUUCUAAGAUUCAUAUAGCCGAUCCCACUCAGUGACUUGGAUUUUUCCAAGUCUCCAACCGAAAAGUUUGUCCUCGCUCGGGAAAUUAAGGGAACACUACCUCAACCUACAUGCUCCACUCACAAAGCUCCAACAUACAAGCUUCAACAAAAGAAAAUUCAAAGAACUUAGCGAAGAAGGCUUUGGUGAUUUAACACAAUACGUUGAAAUGAAGGAAAGCUUAUUUAUUGAUAUCCCCGAUAAAUUACAAAUAUGUACAUAUACUUGAGUCAAAAUAAACAAACAAGAGGAAGCCUUCACAAAGGUUGCUUAGGAGAAGUCUCGGCAGUCGGUAGAGCCCCAGAAAGAGAAGGCACCGGAGGGGGAUCAUUCGGAGCCUCAGUACUGGACAGAACCCUAGAAGGAGGAGGCAUCAGAGGUUGAUCAUUUGGAGCUUCAUUACGCGGUACAGCCCCAGAAGACGAAGGCAAUAAAUGCCUUUGGAACAAACCCACAAAUCUCUGAUGAUCAAGUAAAACCUGACCAUCAGAUUCCUUCAUCUGGUCAAGCUUCCUCUUCAUGUUUGUAGCAUAGUCAUGUGCGAGCCGGUGCAACUGUUUAUUCUCAUGCUUGAGCCCUCUAAUCUCCUGUUUGAGACUCAUCACUUCAGCCGCCAAUGAUUCAACUUGGCGGGUUCGAGCAAAUAGGUGUUGGGCCAUAUUAGACACAGAACCUGCACACUGAACACUAAGAGCCAGAGAAUCCUUAACAGCCAACUCAUCAGACCGUUUGGAAAGUAGUCUGUUAUCUUUGGGAGUGAGAAGGUUCCUGGCCACUACCGCAGCGGUCAUAUCAUUCUUCAUAACGGAAUCCCCAACGGUAAGAGGACCAGUAUGGGAGACGAAGGAUGGGCGCCAUAUGUUGUCUGGAGAAGGUGGGGCUGCCUCUUCAACAAGGUUCAAGUCAAAACGACGGUCGGAGGGGCCAGACAUUUUCAAAGGUGUAGAAGAGAGAAGAGGUCGGACAAAUCAAGAUCUUAGAAGUGCAAGAAUGGAGCUUCUACUGGUGGAUAUUCAAGUGUGCUUUGGAACUUAAUGUCAACCUCUAUAAAAAUCUGCACUCGACGAAGCUUCAGAAAUCGAAGAGGCGUUUGCUUUCUCAAAAGCUGGGCUGCUCAGAGACCACGAGGGUCGAUCUCAGAAAUCGAAGAGGCGUUUGCUUUCUCAAAAGCUGGGCUGCUCAAAGACCACGAAGGCCGAUCUCAGAAAUCGAAGAGGUUUGCUUUCUCAAAAGCUGGGCUACUCAGAGACCACGAGGGCCGAUCUCAGAAAUCGAAGAGGUUUGCUUUCUCAAAAGCUGGGCUGCUCAGAGACCACGAGGGCCGAUCUCAGAAAUCGAAGAGGUUUGCUUUCUCAAAAGCUGGGCUGCUCAGAGACCACGAGGGCCGAUCUCAGAAAUCGAAGAGGCACCUACUUUUCCAACCUUGUCAGCACCUGUCACACGCACACUCAGCUUUGCGGAAAUUAUGGGCAUUCUAUCGAAGAUUUCUGGCGAAGUAGAAAGCACAUGAAUCGUACUGUUCAAUCACCCACUUCCCACACGCAACAGUAGCUCAUGGGUACCACAUAUAACUUUGCCAAAGUUCUCUGACAAAGUUGAGACUACUUUUCCAGCCUUGUCAGCACCUGUCACACGCACACUCAGCUUUGCGGAAAUUAUGGGCAUUCUGUCGAAGAUUUCUGGCGAAGUAGAAAGCACAUGAUUCGUACUGUUCAAUCACCCACUUUCCACAUGCAACAGUAGCUCAUGGGUACCACAUAUAACUUUGCCAAAGUUCUCUGACAAAGUCGAGACAUGUGAAGCUUGCAACUCUCACUACAUCGCUCUGACCAAGAAGGGUAAAAGAAUAGCAAAGAAACAACACUAACAAAGUUUAGACACAUAAAUUUUGAAGGGCUAGCUACCAUAUUAUUACCCACAAGGGUAAAGGAACAGUACCACUGCUGGAUAAUUGGAAAGUCCCUGUGUGUCAACCUCUGUGCUUCAUGGCAAGGUAGACUAGCAAACAUGCCCAACCUUUACUCACAUUCGAAAAAACACUCCCAACAAGAUUGCUUGCCCCAAAAUCGAUGAGGCAUCGCCUCCGAAUCUCGAGAGCCAGACUCCCAACAUGAUUACUUUCUCAAAAAUCGAAGAGAGGGUAAAGGAACAGUACCACUGCUGGAUAAUUUGAAAGUCCCUGUGUAUCAACCUCUGUGCUUCGUGGCAAGGUAGACUAGCAAACAUGCCCAACCUUUACUCACAUUCGAGAAAACACCCCCAACAAGAUUGCUUGCUCCAAAAUCGAAGAGGCACCGCCCUCCGAAUCUCGAGAGCCAGACUCCUAACAUGAUUACUUUCUCAAAAAUCGAAGAGAGGGUAAAGGAACAGUACCACUGCUGGAUAAUUGGAAAGUCCCUGUGUGUCAACCUCUGUGCUUCGUGGCAAGGUAGACUAGCAAACAUGCCCAACCUUUACUCAUAUUCGAGAAAACACUCCCAACAAGAUUGCUUGCUCCAAAAUCGAAGAGGCACAGCCCUCCGAAUCUCAAGAGCCAGACUCCCAACAUGAUUACUUUCUCAAAAAUUGAAGACACCGCUCUCCGAAUCUCGAGAGCCAGACCCCCAGCAUGAUUGCUUUCUCAAAAAUCGAAGAGGCAUCGUUCUCCGAAUCUCGAGAGCCAGAUCCCCGACAGGAUUGCUUGUUCGAAAACCGAAGAGGCACCACUUUCCCAACUUCAAGAGCCGGAUCUCCUUGGAUAAAGCUUGUCUGUAAUCUUCACACGCAACAUCAGCUUUCCAGAUACCACAGACCACUUUUUCAAAGUGCUCUAACAGAGUUAAAACUUGUGAAGCUGGCAGCUCCCACUACCGUGCUAUGACCAAGGAGGGUAAAGGAAUAGCAUUAUUACUUGAUGUUAGGGAGACUCCUAUAUAUGUCGACCUCCAUCCCCAACGAACAGGCAGACCUGCAAAAAUGCUCAACCCUUCCUCUUAUCUGAGAGGGCACUCCCAACGAAGCCUUUCGAAAUAUUCAGCUUUCUUUCCCCCCGAUAAUACCUCUGUAAACAAGCUAUACUAGAGCAAGAAUAUCUCAUAUCAUCAGGGUUAAAAGCAAGAGUAUCCCAUAUCAUGCUUUUUCCCUGUCUUUUCCUUUGGCCUUGUUCUUACUUGCAAGACAAGGAGAAAAGAGAGCAAUCAGUCAGCACUUGGAAUCAAGCUUCCAGCCAGGAACUGACUGCCUGGAACCCCUUACCCUGGCAUUGCUCUCGAGUACUCAUCUUCAACAUCUUAUGCUUCCAGGGAAGAUACCGCAUCUGCCUGAGGAACAGAUAGGGCAAGUGAGAAGGAUACAAGGAAGCAUGUGGAGACAAGCGUAACAGCACACGUGCCGAUACAUCCACUACUCUGUCAAAAGCAAAAGUAUCCCAUAUCAGCAGGGUCGAACGUACUCUAGAUUUGAUGGACUUGUUUUGACCCUCAAAUUCUUCAGUCGGCCUUAUACUUUGGAGGAAACCAUAAAACCCUCCAGCCCAGUUCAAGAAUAAGCCUGUGGAAAGUUACUUCUUCAAAAGCAAAAGUAUCCCAUAUCAUCUCUUCUCAUUUUUCUUCUCUUUAUCCUUCAUGCUGCCUGCAAGAUAGGGAGAAUGUGAACAAUCAGCCGGAGCUCUGAUUGUUUACCUUGUCUGUUACCUCUUUCAGCAGAUCCCCUAGCUCGGCGACUUGGGGGACUCCUACUACAUGGUUUGUAUCGCGCUUGACCAAGCCUGAAACUACAAGUAAGCUUCAAGUGACAUUGAUACAUUACCUUGUGCAUCUCCACCAGUUACAGAUACCACCCCUGGAUGGAGGAAGAGUACUUCCAGAGAAGAUUCCACAUCUACCUAUGAGACAGAUAAGGAAAGUCAAGACGAUACCACACUCCGGUACUUAGAAGUUUCGUGGUUACGAGAUCAUUCUCCCACAAUAUUUCCUAAUGUCAUUUGUACUAAAUCAUUCACUUGUACUCCCUAAAGGAGAGCUUGAACCUAUGUACUUGUGUAAACCCUUCACAAUUAAUGAGAACUCCUCUAUUCCGUGGACGUAGCCAAUCUGGGUGAACCACGUACAUCUUGUGUUUGCUUUCCUAUCUCUAUCCAUUUAUAUACUUAUCCACACUAAUGACCGGACCAAUCUAGCGAAGAUCACAAAAAGUGACCGUUUUCGCUACCUAGGAUCUAUCUUGCAAGAGAACGGAGAAUUAGAUGGAGAUCUCAACCAUAAAAUACAAGCUGGAUGGAUGAAGUGUAAGAGUGUAUCCGGCGUGUUGUGUGAUCGUCGUAGGCCACUGAAGCUCAAGGGAAAAUUUUAUAGGACGGCAAUAAGGCCAACGAUGUUGUAUGGCACAGAAUGUUGGGCGGUGAAGCAUCAACACGUACACAAAAUGGGUGUAGCGGAGAUGAGGAUGCUUCGUGGGAUGUAUGGGCACACGAGAAAGGAUAAGAAUGGGAAUGAGGAUAUCCAAGGUAAAGUAGGAGUAGCCAAAAUUGAAGGAAAUAUGAGAGAAAAUCGGUUCCGGUGGUUUGGACAUGUGCAAAGAAGGCCUACUGACGCUCCGGUUCGAAAAUGUGACUACGGGACAGAAGUUCAGGGCCGAAGGGGUAGAGGAAGACCUAGGAAAACUUUGGAAGAGACCCUAAGAAAAGACUUGAUUACUUGGAUCUAACGGAGGACAUGACACAAAACCGAGCGCAAUGGCGUUCUAAGAUUCAUAUAGCCGACCCCACUUAGUGGGAAAAGGCUUUGUUGUUGUUGCUUCCUUUCCCUUUCCGGUCCUUUCUUUAUCAUUUAUUUUUUCUGCUUUCUUCUUUCUUCCUUUCCCUCACCAUGUCGGUACCCAGGCUUCAACCUUCACUGCACGAUCGCACGACCUCGACACCCAGGGCUUCAACCUUCACCGCACGAUCGCACGACCUCCGACCAAGACCUCGACACCCAGGGCUUCAACCUUCACCGCACGAUCGCGGAGCUCAACCUGGACCACCUCAACAAGGUGUUCAUGGCCGUCGGGUUUCUGAAGACAUGAAGACGAAGUGGCCGGUGGCGUUCACGAUCGUGCGAUCGCGGAGCUCAACACGGACUCGCUACUGUGAAUGGAGUACAUGAAGACGAACCGGCCGGUGGCGUUCACAAGGUCGACGGGAGACGGCCUCCAGUUCAAACUUCCUUCGGACGCCAUGCUGGCGUCACCAUGGCAUCAGAUAGGCCGGUCCCAAGGUCUGUCGAUUUUAGGCCGGCCUGUGGACUGGCAUGGGCUGGGUGCCAGUCAAUUGGGUCGGCUAGAGCAAAUUCACUGGGUCCUGGCCUAUUUUUUCGGCUGGGUGCUGGGCAAAAAGUCCUCCAGUGGACUUGCUCUUACUAUAUAGAAUUCAAAAUAAUUAUACGAUUGCCAUUUUUUGUUUACCGGUCAACUGUAUUCCCAACGACCUUACCCGCACAAUCAAUCUUGAUAACCAGGUUUCCACUAACCUCCUUGUACUCGAUUGUGUUCGCAUGCAUGAGCCAAGGUAGGUGCAUUACUAUUUGCAUUCUGAUAAACAACAAUGAUUUUUUAUGAAUAUUGCAGACUAGAAUUUCCAAUCAUUCCCAAGGGAGAACGGUUCAAUCAUAACAUCAUGGGCUAAGAAUACAAUUUCAUGUUUAAGUUUUUCUCCACAUACAUCACGUUAACUUGGUGUUUUUUACUUUCCUAGCAUGUUCCCUUCUGUGCAUUUUCAGCUUUUAAAUAGUGACUUAUUAGUGAAAAAGCAGAUUCACAUGACGAAGACAUAAGUAUAAAAUUACUUGUCACUAAUUCAGUCAUCAAGCUUAAGUCAUCUAUUUUAAUCUUCAAAAUUAACACAAUAAGCUAGAAAAUUCAGUUCAUGAAAAUCUUGCUCAAUGUUGUUUGACUUGUUUCCUUUCUUAAACGUUUAGAUGCUCAUUAAUUAUAUGCUAAUAAAACUUGCUCUUCAUCUUCAAAUGGAUCAUAAUCCAAUAUAGCUCUGUUACCAAUUAACUAGCAUAACUACAAGUCUACAAGACAACUUUGGUAAAUCCGGUGCCGGCAGGAUCAUUUUCUUCUUCUUUGUGUUGUGUGGCUCAGGUUUUUUUUCAGUCUUUUACAAUUUUAAAUUGAUUGUCUCUACAUUAUCUACCAUGACCUACGAACAAUUGAAACAAUCACCCUCCCAAAAUAAUAUGAUCGGUGUUGCAAGGGAUUGUAGCUUAGUUGUUUACAAGCAGAUAUUUUUUUAUUUUUUUUAGUACAUCUUCUUUAUGUUAAGGAAGAGAAGAAGUUUGGCUAAGCCACACAAUGAAUAGCCUAAUUUGAUAUCAAAUUCGUCAUCUACAAUAUUCGAACCUAAGGCCUCUACUUAUAAGUGAGGAGGAAUAUCAUUAGAUCGUAGUACUAGGUGUUGCAAUUAGUCAUUUUUUUGUUGAGAAUAAAUCUCAUAUUAAUGAAAUGAGAGACUUUGUAUGUGCUUAUAAUAAGUAGUUGAGGUACUCUCCCUAUUGUCAAAUUUUUUUUGGUGGAACUUCAACAUUUUUCAUGCUAUCAAAACAAGUUGUCUCAUGUAUGACACAUAAUGGCUUUACGUGAUCCAUAUCUUUCGAGUUGUAUUAUUCACAUGUUAAACUUAAAAUUCGUCAUACGUAACGGAACAUAUUAAGAAUGAAUCUCAUAUUAAAAAAAAAAAAAAGACUUUGAAAUCUCAAGUUUAUUCUAUUUCCAUCCAAAGUUCUAUAUUUGAUUUCCCAUCUCCAAAAUCGUUCCUAUAAAGAAAAAGAAAAAGUAUAACGUACGUGUAGGGCUUUGGAGAUAAGAAAUCAAAUAAAAAGACAACAAUAUGACCCCACGAAAAGUACAGAGGGAAAAGAGGAGUCCUUCUUUGUGGGCAGAAAGGUGCAGACUUGUUAUAAGUCUUUCAACACCUAAUUAUCAAAAGCAAAUUGCAGAGUUCGAGAGUAGUCUGGAUCUGUUGAUUUUUAUAAUCUAUGGAAACAAGUCCCUUCAUCUGAAAACUUGUACGCAGUAAGUUCCUCUUGCAACUAUAUAUGCGAAAUUCAUUAUUUAUUAAUGAAUUAUUUCAUUUUUCUUGAAGUUUGUAUAUUUAAUUAAAGAUUUCAUCAAUAACCAGCUAUAUAAUUUGUGCUGUUUUCAGCCUUGAUUAUUCCAUCAUUCGGUCUGGAUUUGUUGACGAUAAGUGCAAACAAGUGCCCUCAUGACCUGACAGGCUUCCAUGUAACUGCUGCUUGCUUCAGAUCAUGCCCAAUAUUUGUGCAACGGUGCAAGUUUCGAGUCUUGAAGCGUAGGGUUGCAAGAAUUCCCCCCUGCAGUUACGGGUAAUCCCAAAACUGCCCAUUUUUUGUCCAGUUCAAAUUUAAGAAAAAUAAUGUUUACUAGUAUAUGAUUUUUGCAAGCUUGAGUUUUUCUUUUUGCUCGUCUUUUAAAUUUAUAUGGUGUGUUUUAUUGUGCUUUAUUAUUUAUUGUGUUUUAUGUCAUCUCAAAUGACAAGUGAAUCAAAUGUACACAAUUAACAAUUAAUGGGAUAAAUUUAUUAAUUGAUGUGACAUAUCACAUCAAAUUGUACAUAAAUAUGGUACAAACAUAUGUGAUUCCCUUAACAUUUUCGGAUUUUCCUAGUAAUAUUAUAUGGCGUGUUAUUGUGCUUUAUACAUACAAUAUCAAGUUUUUUUUUUUUUUUUUUUUUUGCUUUUUAUUGGAACAUACAAUAUCAAGUUAUUAGGGACUGUAUACCUGGUGGUGGGAAGGUUAUGAUGUAGGCAACCUUGAUCUGAAUCCGGCCCGUUGCCAUCCUUUGCUAUUCCCAAAUUGUUAUCUCUAGAUAUGCUUACUAGGAGUCUCCAUUAAUUGAAUAUUAUUUCAAUUUUACUAUAAAUUUAUAUAGGUAAAUGCUAGGGACAUUAAAUUACUUUAGUCUAAAGUAAGGUUUGAAAUUGGCACUAUUUAAAUGAACAGUGUUUCAAUCCGAAUUUCAGAUUAAUUACAACCAUGCCAUUGGUCUUUGUGUUGGUUUUGGGUCAGCAGCCAGGCCCUCAGCCAUGCCCAAAUGUGUUGGUUUUAGCUGGGAAGCCCCGCCCUCAGUGAGGCCCAAAUUGUUAAUUACAAUUUUGCCCAUCUAAGAUUACAAUCCAAUGGUGGAGAUGGUGUAUUAAGAAGGGCAAUUUUGUCCUCUCCGUUUUGGGCGAGAUAGGGGGUCAUCGGGUAGGUAUCAUUUGCUGUCGUUCAAUUAGGGUUUCAGGGAGGGUCUGAGAGAGAGAGAGAGAGACAGAGAGAGAUGGCGAUGGGAGGAGAGCGAGGGGGAGGGGUAGGGCUCUCGGCACUGUUGUUGCGGAUGGGAGGGUCGGUAUGGUCAGAGAAGACCAUAUGGGUCGUCGGGAUUUCAGGGAGACGGGGUAGGGGUCAUCAACAAACCCUAUUGAGAGUGGGGUGUGCUGGAUCUUGCGCUGCAUGCCUCGAAUCCAAAGAUAAGUUCUUUUUAAAAUUGUAUUCUUUAAUGGUGCCUUAGAUUUUCUAAUUGUUUAGUAUGUUAGGUCCGGUUUUGGGGGAUUUGUGAUUUUACAGAGAGAGAUGGAUAGGGAGAUAGAGAUAGAGAGAGAGAGGAGAUAGCAUGGGUGUGUGCAUUUUUUUGAGUUAAUUAAUGGGUUAGUGCGCAUGUCAGUGAGGAGAGUGACAGAGGGGUGAAUGGCAUUGGCAGGGUAUGGGUUUUCAGUUUUUCCCUCUGAUUCAAUAGGUUAUGCACUGUUUGAAAAUAAAUUGUUUAUUGUUUUGUUUUCCGUUUGCUUUGUUAAAACCAUCAUUCGAAUUUUUCGGUUUCACUGUGCUCAUUUCUGUGCUUCUUCAAAAUUUUCUGGUGUUUGCUUUUCAUUCCUAUGUUGGUUGAUUUUUUUUUUUUCCCAUUUCUUGGUUCCUUAUGUAUUUCUUGGUUCUGUCUAAUUUUUUGCUGUGGGAUGAUGCUUGCAGGUGAACCUGAAAACAGCAUACAAGAUAGAGAACUGGUAUGCUAUUUUGUCUUUCUGUUGGAUUUUGAUGUUUAUGUUCUGCUACUAAGAGGAUUUUAUAGUGUUCUAAAUCUGUUUUGUAAAUGUGCUUAAAGAUUGGACAUGUUCUUGAAUGUUAGCCAUGUUGUUUGAAUUGGAUAUGUGAUUGAAUAUUAGGUAUUUAGUUUGAAUUGAUCUGGAUAUGUGGUUUAUUGAACUAGAAUUUGGAUAUGUGCUGAUUUGAAUUGAGUAUGUUGAAUUAGAGAUGUGCUACUUUGAAUUAAGUUGAAAAAUGGCAAGCCAUGGUAUAUUGAAUGUUUUUUUUUGCCCCAAAUUUACAUAAGUCCCAAAGGGUGAAUGUCGUCCCAAAACUUUACAACAACAACAACAACAAAGCCUUUUCCCACUAAGUGGGGUCGGCUAUAUGAAUCCUAGAACGCCAUUGCGCUCGGUUUUGUAUCAUGUCCUCCGUUAGAUCCAAGUACUCUAAGUCUUUUCUUAGAGUCUCUUCCAAAGUUGUCCUAGGUCUUCCUCUACCCCUUCGGCCUUGAACCUCUGUCCCGUAGUUACAUCUUCGAACCGGAGCGUCAGUCGGCCUUCUUUGCACAUGUUCAAAAUCACCGGAGCCGAUUUUCUCUCAUAUUUCCUACAAUUUCGGCUACUCCUACUUUACCUCAGAUAUCCUAAUUCCCAAUCUUAUCCUUUCUCGUGUGCCCACACAUCCCACGAAGCAUCCUCAUCUCCGCUACACCCAUUUUGUGUACGUGUUGAUGCUUCACCACCCAACAUUCUGUGCCAUACAACAUCGCUAGCCUUAUUGCCGUCCUAUAAAAUUUUCCCUUGAGCUUCAGUGGCCUACGACGGUCACACAACACGCCGGAUGCACUCUUUCCAUCCAGCUCGUAUUCUAUGGUUGAGAUCUCCAUCUAAUUCUCCGUUCUCUUGCAAGAUAGAUCCUAGGUAGCGAAAACGAUCGCUUUUUGUGAUCUUCGCUAGAUUGCUCCGGUCAUUAGUGUGGAUAAGUAUAUAAAUGGAUAGAGAUAGGAAAGCAAAUACAAGAUGUACGUGGUUCACCCAGAUUGGCUACGUCCACGGAAUAGAAGAGUUCUCAUUAAUUGUGAAGGGUUUACACAAGUACAUAGGUUCAAGCUCUCAUUUAGUGAGUACAAGUGAAUGAUUUAGUACAAAUGACAUUAGGAAAUAUUGUGGGAGAAUGAUCUCGUAAUCACGAAACUUCUAAGUAUCGGAGUGUGGUGUCGUCUUGCCUUACCUUAUCUGUCUCAUAGGUAGAUGUGGCAUCUUCUCUGGAAGUACUCUUCCUCCAUCCAGGGGUGGUAUCUUUAACUGGUGGAGAUGCACAAGGUAAUGUAUCAAUUUCACUUGAAGCUUACUUGUAGUUUCAGGCUUGGUCAAGCGCGAUACAAACCAUGUAGUAGGAGUCCCCCAAGUCGCCGAGCUAGGGGGUCUGCUGAAAGAGGUGACAAACAAGGUAAGCAAUCAGAGCUCCGACUGAUUGUUCACCUUCUCCCCAUCUUGCAGCAGCAUGAAGGAUAAAGAGAAGAAAAAUGAGAAGAGAUGAUAUGAGAUACUUUUGCUUUUGAAGAAGUAACUUUCCACAGGCUUAUUCUUGAACUGAGCUGGAGGGUUUUCUGGUUUCCUCCAGAGUAUAAGGCCGACUGAAGAAUUUGAGGGUCAAAACAAGUCCAUCAAAUCUAGAGUACGUUCCACCCUGCUGAUAUGGGAUACUUUUGCUUUUGACAGAGUAAUGAAUGUAUCGGCACGUGUGCUGUUACGCUUGUCUCCACAUGCUUCCUUGUAUCCUUCGCACUUGCCCUAUCUGUUCCUCAAGCAGAUGCGGAAUCUUCCCUGGAAACAUAAGAUGUCGAAGAUGAGUACUCGAGAGCAAUGCCAGGUAAGUAAUCAGGUAAGGGGUUCCAGGCAGUCAGUUCCUGGCUGGAAGCUUGAUUCCAAGUGCUGACUGAUUGCUCUCUUUCUCCUUGUCUUGCAGGUAAAAACAAGGCCAAAAGAAAAGACAGGGAAAAAGCAUGAUAUGGGAUACUCUUGCUUUUAACCCUGAUGAUAUGAGAUAUUCUUGCUCUAGUAUAGCUUGUUUGCAGAGGUAUUAUCGGGGGGAAAGAAAGCUGAAUAUUUCGAAAUGCUUCGUUGGGAGUGCCUUCUCAGAUAUGAUGAAGGGUUGAGCAUUUUUGCAGGUCUGCCUGUCCGUUGGGGAUGGAGGUCGACAUAUAUAGGAGUCUCCCUAAAAACAAGUAGUAAUGCUAUUCCUUUACCCUGCUUGGUCAUAGCACGGUAGUGGGAGCUGCCAGUUUCACAUGUUUUAACUCUGUCAGAGCACUUUGAAAAAGUGGUCUGUGGUAUCUGGCUCUCGAGAUUCGGAGAACGAUGCCUCUUCGAUUUUUGAGAAAGCAAUCAUGCUGGGGGUAUGACUCUCGAGAUUCGGAGAGCAGUGUCUCUUCGAUUUUUGAGGAAGUAAUCAUGUUGGGAGUCUGGCUCUCGAGAUUCGGAGGGCGAUGCCUCUUCGAUUUUGGAGCAAGCAAUCUUGUUGGGAGUGUUGUCUCGAAUGUGAGUAAAGGUUGGGCAUGUUUGCUAGUCUACCUUGCCACGAAGCACAAAGGUUGACACACAGGGACUUUCCAAUUAUCCAGCAAUGGUACUGUUCCUUUACCCUCUCUUCGAUUUUGAGAAAGUAGUCAUGUUGGGAGUCUGGCUCUCGAGAUUCGGAGGACGGUGCCUCUUCGAUUUUGGAGCAAGCAAUCUUAUUGGGAGUGUUUUCUCGAAUGUGAGUAAAGGUUGGGCAUGUUUGCUAGUCUACCUUGCCACGAAGCACAGAGGUUGACACACAGGGACUUUCCAAUUAUCCAGCAGUGGUACUGUUCCUUUACAGUUGUGGGUAAUAAUAUGGUAGCUAGACCUUCAAAAUUUAUGUGUCUAAACUUUUGUUAGUGCUGUUUCUUUGCUAUUCUUUUACCUUUCUUGGUCAGAGCGAUGUAGUGGGAGCUGCAAGCUUCACGUGCUCAACUUUGGCAGAGAACUUUGGCAAAGUUAUUUGUGGUACCCAUGAGCUAUUGUUGCGUGUGGGAAGUGGAUGAUUGAACAGUAAGAUUCAUGUGCUUUCUACUUCACCAGAAGUCUUCGACAGAAUGCCCAUAAUUUCUGCAAAGCUGAGUGUGCGUGUGACAGGUGCUGACAAGGGUAGAAAAGUAGGUGCCUCUUCGAUUUCUGAGAUUGGCCCUCGUGGUCUCUGAGCAGCCCAGCUUUUGAGAAAGCGAGCGCCUCUUCGAUUGAUUCGGAGAACGAUGCCUCAUCGAUUUUUGAGAAAGCAAUCAUGCUGGGGGUCUGGCUCUCGAGAUUCGGGGAGCAGUGUCUCUUCGAUUUUUGAGAAAGUAAUCAUGUUGGGAGUCUGGCUCUCGAGAUUCGGAGGGCGGUGUCUCUUCGAUUUUGGAGCAAGCAAUCUUGUUGGGAGUGUUUUCUCGAAUGUGAGUAAAGGUUGGGCAUGUUUGCUAGUCUACCUUGCCACGAAGCACAGAGGUUGACACACAGGGACUUUCCAAUUAUCCAGCAAUGGUACUGUUCCUUUACCCUCUCUUCGAUUUUUAAGAAAGUAGUCAUGUUGGGAGUCUGGCUCUCGAGAUUCGGAGGACGGUGCCUCUUCGAUUUUGGAGCAAGCAAUCUUAUUGGGAGUGUUUUCUCGAAUGUGAGUAAAGGUUGGGCAUGUUUGAUAGUCUACCUUGCCACGAAGCACAGAGGUUGACACACAGGGACUUUCCAAUUAUCCAGCAGUGGUACUGUUCCUUUACCCUUGUGGGUAAUAAUAUGGUAGCUAGACCUUCAAAAUUUAUGGGUCUAAACUUUGUUAGUGCUGUUUCUUUGCUAUUCUUUUACCCUUCUUGGUCAGAGCGAUGUAGUGGGAGCUGCAAGCUUCACGUGCUCAACUUUGGCAGAGAACUUUGGCAAAGUUAUCUGUGGUACCCAUGAGCUAUUGUUGCGUGUGGGAAGUGGGUGAUUGAACAGUAAGAUUCAUGUGUUUUCUACUUCCCCAGAAGUCUUUGACAGAAUGCCUAUAAUUUCCGCAAAACUGAGUGUGCGUGUGACAGGUGCUGACAAGGCUGGAAAAGGCUGGAAAAGUAGGUGCCUCUUCGAUUUCUGAGAUCGGCCCUCGUGGUCUCUGGGGAGCCCAGCUUUUAAGAAAGCGAGCGUAUCUUCGAUUUUUGAGAUCGGCCAUCGUGGUCUUUGAGCAGCCCAACUUUUGAGAAAGCAAACGCCUCUUCGAUUUCUGAGAUCAACCCUCGUGAUCUCUAAGCAGCCCAGCUUUUGAGAAAGCAAACGCCUCUUCGAUUUCUGAGCAGGCGCCUCUUCGAUUUCUGAAGCUUCGUCGAGUGCAGAUUUUUAUAGGGGCUGGCAUUAAGUUCCAAAGCACACUUGAAUCUCCACCAGUAGAAGCUUCAUUCUUGCACUUCUAAGAUCUUGAUUUUUCCGACCUCUUCUCUCUUCAACACCUUUGAAAAUGUCUGGCCCCUCCGACCGUCGUUUUGACUUGAACCUUGUUGAAGAGGCAGCCCCGCCUUCUCCAGACAACAUAUGGCGCCCAUCCUUCGUUUCCCCUACUGGUCCUCUUACCGUUGGGGAUUCCGUGAUGAAGAAUGAUAUGACCGCUGCGGUGGUGGCCAGGAACCUUCUCACUCCCAAAGAUAACAGACUACUUUCCAAACGGUCUGAUGAGUUAGCUGUUAAGGAUUCGCUGGCUCUCAGUGUUCAGUGUGCAGGUUCUGUGUCUAAUAUGGCCCAACACCUAUUUGCUCGAACCCGCCAAGUUGAAUCAUUGGCGGCUGAAGUGAUGAGUCUCAAACAGGAGAUUAGAGGGCUCAAGCAUGAGAAUAAACAGUUGCACCGGCUCGCACAUGACUAUGCUACAAACAUGAAGAGGAAGCUUGACCAGAUGAAGGAAACUGAUGGUCAGGUUUUACUUGAUCAUCAGAGAUUUGUGGGUUUGUUCCAAAGGCAUUUAUUGCCUUCGUCUUCUGGGGCUGUACCGCGUAAUGAAGCUCCAAAUGAUCAACCUCUGAUGCCUCCUCCUUCUAGGGUUCUGUCCAGUACUGAGGCUCCAAAUGAUCCCCCCCUCCGGUGCCUUCUCUUUCUGGGGCUCUACCUGACUGCUGAGACUUCUCCUAAGCAACCUUUGUGAAGGCUCCCUCUUGUGUGCUUAUUUUGACUCAUGUAUAUGUACAUAUUUGUAGCUUAUCGGGGAUAUCAAUAAAUAAGCUUUCCUUCAUUUCAACGUAUUGUGUUAAAUACACACCAAAGCCUUCUUCGCUAAGUUCUUUGAAUUUUCUUUUGUUAAAGCUUGUAUGUUGAAGCUUUCUGAGUGGAGCAUGUAGGUUGGGGUAGUGUUCCCUUAAUUUCCCGAGUGAGGAAAACUUCUCGGUUGGAGACUUGGAAAAUCCAAGUCACUGAGUGGGAUCGGCUAUAUGAAUCUUAGAACGCCAUUGUGCUCGAUCCUGUGUCAUGUCCUUCGUUAGAUCCAAGUACUCUAAGUCUUUUCUUAGAGUCUCUUCCAAAGUUUUCCUAGGUCUUCCUCUACCCCUUCGGCCCUGAACCUCUGUCCCAUAGUCGCAUCUUCUAAUCGGAACGUCAGUAGGCCUUCUUUGCACAUGUCCAAACCACCGUAACCGAUUUUCUCUCAUCUUUCCUUCAAUUUCGGCUACUCCUACUUUACCCCGGAUAUCCUCAUUCCUAAUCUUAUCCUUUCUCGUGUGCCCACACAUCCAACGAAGCAUCCUCAUCUCCGCUACACCCAUUUUGUGUACGUGUUGAUGUUUCACCGCCCAACAUUCUGUGCCAUACAGCAUCGCCGGCCUUAUUGCCGUCCUAUAAAAUUUUCCCUUGAGCUUCAAUGGCAUACGGCGGUCACACAACACGCCGGAUGCACUCUUCCACUUCAUCCAUCCAGCUUGUAUUCUAUGGUUAAGAUCUCCAUCUAAUUCUCCGUUCUUUUGCAAGAUAGAUCCUAGGUAACGAAAACGGUCACUCUUUGGUAUUUCUUGAUCUCCGAUCCUCACCCCUAACUCGUUUUGGCCUCCAUUUGCACUGAACUUGCACUCCAUAUAUUCUGUCUUUGAUCGGCUUAGGCGAAGACCUUUAGAUUCCAACACUUCUCUCCAAAGGUUAAGCUUUGCAUUUACCCCUUCCUGAGUUUCAUCUAUCAACACUAUAUCGUCUGCGAAAAGCAUACACCAAGGAAUAUCAUCUUGAAUAUGUCCUGUUAACUUAUCCAUUACCAACGCAAAAAGGUAAGGACUUAAGGAUGAGCCUUGAUGUAAUCCUACAGUUAUGGGAAAGCUUUCGGUUUGUCCUUCAUGAGUUCUUACGGCAGUCUUUGCUCCUUCAUACAUAUCCUUUAUAGCUUGGAUAUAUGCUACUCGUACUCCUUUCUUCUCUAAAAUCCUCCAAAGAAUGUCUCUUGGGACCCUAUCAUACGCUUUUUCCAAAUCUAUAAAGACCAUGUGUAAAUCCUUUUUCCCAUCUCUAUAUCUUUCCAUCAAUCUUCGUAAGAGAUAGAUUACCUCCAUGGUUGAGCGCCCUGGCAUGAACCCGAAUUGGUUGUCCGAAACCCGUGUCUCUUGCCUCAAUCUAUGCUCAAUGACUCUCUCCCAGAGCUUCAUUGUAUGACUCAUUAGCUUAAAUACCCCUAUAGUUCAUGCAAUUUUGUACGUCGCCCUUAUUCUUGUAGAUAGGCACCAAAGUGCUCAUUCGCCACUCAUUUGGCAUCUUCUUCGUUUUCAAAAUCCUAUUGAAAAGGUCAGUGAGCCAUGUUUAUACCUGUCUCUCCCAAAAGUUUCCACACUUCGAUUGGUAUAUCGUCUGGGCCUAUUGCUUUUUUAUGCUUCAUCUUCUUCAAAGCUACAACCACUUCUUCCUUUCGGAUUCGACGAUAAAAAGAGUAGUUUCUACACUCUUCUGAGUUACUCAACUCCCCUAAAGAAGCACUCAUUUCAUGUCCUUCAUUGAAAAGAUUAUGAAAAUAACCUCUCCAUCUGUCUUUAACCGCGUUCUCUGUAGCAAGAACAUUUCCAUCCUCAUCCUUGAUGCACCUCACUUGGUUUAGGUCCCUUGUCUUCUUUUCCCUUGCUCUAGAUAGUUUAUAGAUAUCCAACUCUCCUUCUUUGGUAUCUAGUCGUUUAUACAUAUCGUCGUAAGCUGCUAACUUAGCUUCUCUGACAGCUUUCUUCGCCUCUUGCUUCGCUUUUCUAUACCUUUCACCAUUUUCAUCAGUCCUCUCCUUGUAUAAGGCUUUACAACAUUCCUUCUUAGCCUUCACCUUUGUUUGUACCUCCUCAUUCCACCACCAAGAUUCCUUUUGGUGUGGGGCAAAGCCCUUGGACUCUCCUAAUACCUCUUUUGCUACUUUUCGGAUACAACUAGCCAUGGAAUCCCACAUUUGGCUAGCUUCCCCCUCUCUAUCCCACACACAUUGGGUGAUUACCUUCUCUUUGAAAAUGGCUUGUUUUUCUUCUUUUAGAUUCCACCAUCUAGUCCUUGGGCACUUCCAAGUCUUGUUCUUUUGUCUUACUCUUUUGAUAUGUACAUCCCAUCACCAACAAGCGAUGUUGAUUAGCCACGCUCUCUCCUGGUAUAACUUUGCAAUCCUUACAAGUUAUACGAUCCCCUUUCCUCAUUAGAAGAAAAUCUAUUUGUGUUUUUGACGACCCACUCUUGUAGGUGAUCACAUGUUCUUCUCUCUUCUUAAAGAAGGUGUUGGCUAAGAAGAGAUCAUAUGCCAUUGCAAAAUCCAAGAUAGCUUCCCCAUCCUCGUUUCUCUCCCCAAAACCAUGGCCACCAUGAAAACCUCCAUAGUUGCCUGUCUCCCUGCCCACGUGUCCAUUUAAAUCUCCUCCUAUAAAUAACUUCUCCGUCUGAGCAAUUCCUUGCACCAAGUCUCCAAGAUCUUCCCAAAAUUUCUCCUUCGAACUCGUAUCCAACCCUACUUGAGGUGCGUACGCACUAAUCACAUUGAUAAGUUCUUGUCCUAUUACAAUCUUGAUUGCCAUGAUUCUAUCUCCUACCCUCUUGACAUCUACAACAUCUUGUACCAAGGUCUUGUCCACGAUGAUGCCAACACCGUUUCUCGUUCUAUUUGUGCCCGAAUACCAAAGUUUAAACCCUGAGUUUUCUAGAUCCUUUGCCUUACUACCAACCCACUUAGUUUCUUGUAGGCACAUAAUAUUUAUCCUUCUCCUCACCAUAACUUCCACUACUUCCAUAGAUUUUCCCGUUAAGGUUCCUAUAUUCCACGUUCCUAAACGCAUUUUGCUCUCUUGAACUCUACCCUUCUGUCCUAGCUUCUUCACCCUCCCCCGUCUAAUAGGAUCAAAGUACUUCUUUUGUGUGUCCCGGGUAAAGUUGAUAGGAGCAUAUGCUCCCAAACAACUUUGAGUGGAGUCGUUCGAAAAGAAGUUUCUAUAGCCCCCUUGCUCAUUUAACACUGCAUCCGGGUGCCGAUGGAGAUACAGCGACCCUUGCUCACUUAUCACUGUGCUCAGGCCACACAGCGCGCCACUUACGGGUGACGCCCUAGCUUUAGCGCGAUUUUGUUCUGGAUUCAUUUUCAUAAGGAUUCGACGUGAUCAUGGAGUGCCGGCUGUCGACUACCUGACGCCCUCCCCCUCCUCCUUUAUCCGGGCUUGGGACCGGCCAUGUAAGACAUAGGCGGAGUUAUCAACCAAAACUUUAAAAGAAAAUAAUUAGAAAACAUGAUUCAGGAGAGAAAUAACAAGUCCAUCACGUAUUAGAAAAUCAGUUUUGCCCAGUGAUCGAAAUCAUUACAGGAUUAAAAACUAGAAUCCGACUUUGGAAGAACUUCCAUUCUCUUCUAAAACAGCUUCCACCAACGACAAACGUUCUUGCAGAUGUUUAACUGCACAUAGCAAUGGAAAAAGAUAAUAGGUCAGAAGUUAAUAGUUUACACCCAUUUUUCAAACACGGUGGUUGUUUGUUUUGAACCUACACCAGGUUCACCCUGUAUCAGCGGUUUCCCAGUCACACUAGUAUGAACAUUAGAUAUGAGUUUGAUAACACAAAAAACUAGUAGAUUUGUGUAUGCCCCCUUGGGAACUAAUUCUGUGUGGAAUUUUGUUGUAUGGGCUAUGGAGUAAAUACAUGUUGCAUGACGUGACUUGUUCGAGUUCAUUAGAGGGUCGUGGCGAUGCCCAUGGAAAGACAAGCUCAGGUCCUUUCCAUGUUCUUUUGUGAUCUUUGUUUCACAGUUGGAACGGGGGAGGUUUUGAUUCUGUGAUGAUAUUUGGGUUGGGAUUCCUAUUUCAGUGUCAUUUUCUGCCAUCUGUAUAGGAUCUCUUUGCCAUAAUUAAUCACCCCAAAAAAAUUAUUUGCAUUUGAUUCUUUGCAUAAACUUAUCUUAUGAAUAGUUGAGUAUGCUUUAAUGUCAAUACUAAUUUGUCCGUGACUAUGUCUUUGGUUCUCUAUGUUGUGUAUGGACCAGGGAAUUUAAAUUUUAAAGUGCUAUAUAACUUAUGCUAAAAUAUGUUUGGAAUACCCUAGAAAAAUUAGAUAGAGGCUUGAAAGGACUAGAUCCAGUACAUUUGAAAGAGCUCUCAGUACAAGACAACUUUGUUAAGUGUUUUUGUAGUGGUGUUCUAAUAGCAGCUUCGUAGUUUUAGUCUAAUGUUUUUGUUGUACAUUUUUAACAACCGAAUCUAAAAUCCCUCCGUACUUUAAAGUCCCUCCUCCAGACAUCACAUUAGAGAAUUAUAACUAUUCAACAUCCUUGGUGCAUUGGCAGAUUAAUGAUUGUAUCACGGAAUUUUGGCUAAGUUCCUUGAAUUAUUGAACCGUUAAUGCUUUCCAAAUGUUUUACUUUGAUUCAUUGUCUCACAUUUUCCAUGGUACAAGUUUACAUGAUUGCAAGCCGAUAGAAAGAGAUAGAUGUAGGGAGAAGUGGGAAUUGGGGGAGAGAGAGAGUGAGUGAGGGGUGCGGUUGCUUUUUAAAGAUUUCCUUGAAAUUGUUUCUGCAGUUUUUUUUUUUGGGUGGAUUUUCUCGAGUUCUUUCUAUUUGUUUGGAAUUGUUUCAUUUUUACUGAGAUUCUUUUGGUCCCUGUCACUAAACUCUGAUUUCUACUAUUAAUUGCUGCUGAAAUGUGACUUUUGCUAUUAAUUUUGUAAAUUAAUUAAGAUGCUUAAUGUUCCCUUAAUUGUGAUUAAGAUGGUCACAAUCCUACCAUCCUCUGUAUGCUCUGCCAUGUCCGCCGCCAAUGUUUUAUGUUCCGAUUUUUACUUUUUAAUCCUUUCUUACAACAUUUAAAUAAUCAGGUUGAAAUAGUAAUUCUAUUUUUCGACAAACGAUAGGUUAAAUUGUUAGUUGUUAUGAGAGAAGGAGAUCGUUUUAGAGAUCAAACCCGCAUCAAAAUAUAUGAUGAUUUCUGCAAAUGCGAUCAGCAGUUGCAUUUUACAAUAUACAACUUCAGUUAGCAUCAGUUUCUUAAUGAGUGGCAUGUGAAUUCUUAAUUUAAUUUCGGAAAAAAAUGCAUUUAAAUUUGGUGGUAUGUGAUGAACUUAGCAUUCUGUCUUUUAUUAUAUACUGGUGAUGGACAUUUUUAGCAUAUUGGAUUUAUCAUUUUCUAUAAAAUGAAGCUUCAUUCUCGCUAUGUUGUUGAUGUUUUUUUGUGAUUUCAGUUUAUAGUGCUUCUAAAUGCUGUUUUAAUUUAGGAAUUUGAAUAAUUGUUUAAAUGGGAUUGGAGGGUGAUAAAUAUUUCUAGCUAGGGAAAGGUCGCAUCCAUGUGUUGGUCGAAUUGAUGGAUGUAAAAAAUGAAUAUGGCAAGGUGUAAAAAAUGAAUAUGGAUGAACGUUUAGCUACUGCAUGUAGAUUCAGCUUUCCUUUGCAUUUGAGUGAGUUGGAAACCGAGUGGAACAGUUUGAGAGAGGGAGGGACGGAGGGAGAGAGAGAGAGAGGACGAUGUUGGGAUUUUGGUAAAGAUUUGAGCUUUAGUGGUAAGCAUGCUGAUUUGAGCUCACAGAAAAACCCAACAGUAUGUAGAUUGAAUUGAGUUGGGAACUGAGUGGAAAAAUGUUAGAGAGAGGAUUGUGUAUAGUUCUCAAAGCUUCUUACGUUGUUUUCUGAUGCAUCUUUGAGCCACUGGCCUUAGGUGGAGUCUUAUACUGCAAUAUUAUGUGCUAAUCUAAUAAACCCUGCAACUUAUUCGUCUUUGUCAUGAGUAAGUUUUGGUUUUUUUCAUUGGAAUAGGGAUUUAGUGGAUGAUUGUUUUUAACGCAUAUUAGUUAAAAUGAGUUGAGUAUUGGGUGCCAAUCCCAUGUCUGCAAAUCACAGUAGCCUAAGGAAGAAACACUGUCUGCACGAUCUAUAAUACCUAUUCACGCAAGAAUCUUUUCCCAAACUAAAAAGCUUACAUUUCCAAACGUGUAAAGGAUGGGCCACUAUCAUCUUACUUUUUCAAUACCUAAACCAUGCAGUGAUGCAUGGGCUGGAUAUUGCUCCUUUCAAGUUUCAAACCAUUAAAUGCUAAAGAUUUCUGGAUAAAUCAUCGUAGAAGUCGAUUCUACAGAUUCCUUCUUAGUUACACUCAGAUGAUAAUGUAUUUAUUGUCCUUGACAUGUUUUUAAAGUUUGCAUUUUCAAUGUAUAUUUCAUUAACUAAGCUUUAUCAGCGGAAUAUCAUCGCAAAUUUGUUACGGAAAAUGCUAUUGCUAGAUUCUGAUAUAUCUACUUUAGUUUUAAGGAUUACACAUUGUUUUACGAUAUAAAAUAGAUGUUCUGCCUUGAUUUGAUGCGGGGGUAUGCAUUAGCUAACAUUAAUUCUGCUUAGUAUUUCUCAAAUUCAUUUUGGGUUAAAAAGUUGGAGCUUUGGAUCGGGUUUUUUCUUUAUUCAUGUUGGAAGAAUACAUGCAAGUCAUAUCUUGUGUUAAAAUGCAUGCAUGAAAUAAACUUGUUGGAUGACUAGUGAAGUUAGGCUAGUCAACAUUCUUUGUGUAAAAUGCAUGCAUGAAAUAAACAUGUUGGAUGACUAGUGAAGUUAGGCUAGUCAACAUUCUUUGUGUAAGUUAAGCAAGUUAGGCAAGUUAGGCUUAUGUCUACUUUCUUUUCCUAUAUAUAUGUUUCAUUUGUAAUUGUUUCUUCAUGAAAUACACAUAAAAAAUUCUACAUGGUAUCAGAGCAGGUUCAUUUGUAACCUGUCUCUGCCAUUCUUGCUGCUGCAAUUUUUUCUUUCUUUCAAAGUCUAAGUCAUGACUGAAGAAAGUUCUGUGAACCAUGAUGAGGAAACCCGGCACAAUCUCUCUCCAAACUUCUCAGACGUUGAGGUUAACACCAAUCAACGUUUGUGUUCAGUUCUCUUGAACGAGUUCAAUUAUCUUCCUUGGUCCCGAGCUGUUUCACUAGCUCUCGGAGGCAAAGGGAAGUUAGGGUUUGUAAAUGGAAGCGUGGAAGCUCCAGACAGUUCUUCCUCUACAUACAAUGCAUGGCUCUGCAAAGAUCAACUUGUCAUGUCCUUGCUGCUCAAACACCAUGGAGAAACAUGUUGCUGAAAUUUUUAGCUACUCCAAUUCCGCACAUGAUCUUUGGAAAGCUUUGCAGGAUAUGUAUGGAAAUCAAAACAACUAUGCACGGGUCUUCCAAUUAAAGAAGGACAUUGACAGUGCUCAACAAGAAGGGAAAGCAUUUGUUCAACACCUUGGGAGCCUCAAAGCCAUGUGGAAUGAGUUGGAUGUAUAUCUCCCUCAUACCACAGAUCCUACCAUUCUCCUAAAACGAGCUGAGGAAGACAAAAUUUAUCAGCUGUUAGGGAGUUUGAGCUCUGAGUACGAGGACCUAAGGAGUCACAUCUUGAUGAGUCAAGACCUGCCUACCUUCAACAAUGUUUGUGCAACUAUCCAACGAGAAGAAGUAAGGAAGAAGGUUAUGAAUGUUGAUCACAAUCCUAGAUUAACGGAGACUCGGGCAUAUGCAUCAAAGUACAAGAACUCAUAAGCCAAGGUAUACAAGGGAAGAAACACACAUCUAAAAUGCAAAUAUUGCAAUGGUGUUGGUCAUGAGGAAGACAAGUGUUGGGAACUUCAUCCUGAACUCAAGCCUAAGUUCAGCAAAGAUGGAAGGAUGAUACCAAGGUCCUCACAACAAUUUCAAACCUCAUUUCAAGGCACAACUUGCUAAUGCUCACGCUCCUACUAUCUCACAAGGAUCCAUGGAGUUCACUGCCAAUCCAUUGUCAUUAAUCAAUGAAUUUGCAGCUUACCUACAAAGUAAGGGGCACGGAGGAGGCUCAUAUGGUCAAGGCAAUGAAGAGGGUAGUCACACACACAGCUAUGUUGGGACAAUUUGCCGGAUUUCUUGCUGGAAAUGAGAAAGUUCCAAAGGGAGAAGCAUCAGGUAUACUCAAAGCCUUUACUACUGCCCUAUUAACUAGUACUGAAAUUGAUUGUUGGAUAAUUGAUUCAGGCGCCACAGAUCAUAUGACAAACAAAGUUACAAAUUUACAUCAUUUUAAAAAAAUUUCAAGCCCCUCACAUGUGUCUAUUGCAAAUGGAAAAAAUGUCUUAGUUUUGGGAAAAGGAGAAAUAAACUUACUCUCUCAAAAAACACCUUCCACUGCCCUCUAUGUACCAACCUUUCCCUUCCAACUUUUGUCAAUUGGAAAGAUCACCAACACCCCUAAACUGCCGUGCUAUUUUCUCACCAAAUAAAGUAAUGUUUCAGGAUGUUCUCACCAUGAAGAUGAUUGGUGAAGGGGUCUUCAUAAAUGGACUUUACUACCUGUGCAAGAAUGCAUGUUUCACUCAGGCUCUUCAAGCUCAAUCGAAGUCCAUAGAUGAAAACCAACUUUGGCAUAGGAGAUUAGCUCACCCCUCUGAACUUGUCUUGUCGAAACUGUUUCCAAAUUUUUGUAACCCCUAUCCUACUUGUGAUACUUGUCAAUUUUCUAAGUUUACUAGGCUACCUUUUGGUAAUUCAAUGUCUAGGACAAGUAAACCUUUUGAAAUGGUACACACCGAUGUAUGGGGACCUGCAACUGAAUCAAUGGAAGGUUUUAAAUAUUUUGUUCUAUUUGUUGAUGAUUUCUCUCGAACAAGUUUUCUAUAUCUUAUGAAAUCAAAAAGUGAAGUCCCUACCAUUUUCAAAGACUUUCACAUGCAUGUUAAAACGCAAUUUCAAUCAAACAUUAAGGUUUUAAGGUCAGAUAAUGGCACUGAAUUUCUAUCCAACAACAUGCUUCAAUACAUAAGUUCUCAGGGUAUCAUACAUCAAACCAGCUGUGUGGGGACUCCCCAACAAAAUGGAGUAGCCGAGAGGAAAAAUAGAGAUCUCUUGGAAAAAACUCGUGCUCUCAUGAUUCACAUGCACGUUCCAAAGAAAUUUUGGUCGUUUGCCAUCCUUACUGCCACUUAUCUCAUCAAUCGACUUCCAAGUCGUGUGCUAGGGUUUAAAUCUCCUUAUGAAGUUCUCAAGGGGAGGAAAAUAGAUUUGACACAUCUCAAGGUGUUUGGUUGUGUGUGUUUUGUUCACAUCCAAACCUUGAACCGUGACAAAACUAGAUGCCAGGGCAACCAAGUGUGUGUUUAUGGGAUACUCGACCACUCAAAAGGGAUACAAGUGCUUCAAUCCAGUCACUAAGAAGUGCACAGUUUCAAGAGAUGUGAAGUUCGAAGAAGACUAUCCCUAUUUUACAAGUCAGGGGGAGGAUUUAGUUGACAUGUUCCCACUCCCUCAAAACUUUAAUUAUCCGAUGUUGGAAAAGAGAUCAGUCAUUGUAAGUCCAGAUUGUGAAGAAGUUCAAACUGACCAAAUUACUGCCAGUGAAAGUGAAGACGAGCCCUACUCUGAUCCUUCUCCGCCCUCUACAGAGUCUCAGGUGAUUAAAAGAAAUCCUCCUCGAAUCAGAAAACCUCCAGCUAGGUUGCAGGACUAUGUUACAUAUGCCUCACGACAUCCAAUCAAUGAAUGUAUCAGCUUUAGUAAGUUCUCAACAUCUCAUGCUGCAUUUCUCAGUGAAAUUGAUAAGCACUAUGAACCAAGAAGCUUUCAAGAAGCUUCUCUUCUCCCACAAUGGAACCAAGCCAUGAAAGAAGAGAUUCGUGCACUGGAAGAGAAUUGCACCUGGAGCCUAGUUCAACUACCACCAGGAAAAAAGGCUGUUGGAAGUCGUUGGAUUUACAAGACUAAAUUCAAAGCUGAUGGAUCUAUCGAGAGACACAAGGCUAGACUUGUUGCUCGAGGUUUCACCCAAACCUUUGGUGUAGAUUAUAAGGAAACAUUCGCACCGGUGGCCAAGAUGAACUCAGUCAGGGUUUUACUGUCAGUUGCAAUCAAUUGUGGAUGGUCACUCUACCAAAUGGACGUGAAGAAUGUUUCCUUCACGGCGAGCUGCAGGAAGAAGUGUAUAUGCAACCUCCUCCAGGCUAUGAUGGUAUUAAAGGCAACAUGGUUUGUAAAUUGCACAAGGCAAUAUACGGAUUGAAACAAUCACCAAGAGCUUGGUAUGCCAAGCUCAGUUCUGUUCUGGAAAAGGCUGGAUUCAUGCGAAGUAAUGCUGAUUCUUCGUUAUUUGUAAGAACUGGCACCAGGGGGAAGUUGGUGGUCCUCGUCUAUGUUGAUGAUCUUAUCAUCACUGUAGAUAAUACCGUGGAGAUUGAGGCACUAAAACUCUCACUACAUCAAGCUUUCGCUAUCAAAGAUUUGGGGAGGUUAAAGUAUUUUUUGGGGAUCGAAAUGGCAACAUCUUCAAAAGGACUGUUUCUACAUCAACGGAAAUAUGUAUUGGACCUCCUUCAAGAAGCAAAAAUGCUUGACUGCAAGCCUGUUAUCACUCCCGUUGAUUGUAAACUGAAGCUCAGCAUAGAUGGAGAAGCCAUGCAUGAUGUAAGCUACUAUCAACGAUUAGUAGGCAAGCUCAUAUACCUCACUAUCACUCGUCCAGAUAUCACAUAUGCAGUGAGCUUGGCUAGUCAGUUCAUGCACUCUCCCACUGUUGAUCACCUUAACCUUGUUAAGAGAAUCCUUCGUUAUCUUAAGGGUUCAAUUGGGCAAGGAAUUACAAUGCAUAACAAUCAGUCCACUGUCAUUAGUGGCUACACAGAUGCAGACUGGGCAGGUAAUGCAAUUGAUAGGAAAUCAAUCACAGGCUAUUGUACAUUUGUUGGUGGAAACCUUGUCACAUGGAAGAGUAAGAAGCAACAGGUAAUUGCUCGUUCCAGCGCAGAGGCUGAGUAUCGAGCCAUGGCAGCCACUGCGUGUGAACUCAUUUGGCUUAAAGGGCUUCUUUCAGACUUAGGGUUUCCUAGUUCUACUCCUAUGAUGCUUAUGUGUGAUAAUCAGGCAGCCAUGCAUAUUGCUGCCAAUCCUGUGUUCCAUGAAAGAACCAAACAUAUUGAAGUGGAUUGUCAUUUCAUCAGAGCUCAAGUUCAAACGCAAAUCAUCCGGACCAUGUUCACACGAAGCCAUGAUCAACUAGCAGAUCUUUUUACAAAGGCACUAGCAUCAUCUCAGUUUCAUCGGUUAUUGGGCAAGCUUGGCUCAGUGAAUCCCCUCGAUCCAGCUUGAGGGGGAGUGUUGGAAGAAUACAUGCAAGUCAUAUCUUGUGUUAAAAUGCAUGCAUGAAAUAAACAUGUUGGAUGACUAGUGAAGUUAGGCUAGUCAACAUUCUUUGUGUAAAAUGCAUGCAUGAAAUAAACAUGUUGGAUGACUAGUGAAGUUAGGCUAGUCAACAUUCUUUGUGUAAGUUAAGCAAGUUAGGCAAGUUAGGCAAGUUAGGCUUAUGUCUACUUUCUUUUCCUAUAUAUAUGUUUCAUUUGUAAUUGUUUCUUCAUGAAAUACACAUCAAAAAUUCUACAAUUCAGCUAUCAUUUUCUGCUUAGGAGACUCUCUUAAACUGUGUGAAACUGUGCUCAUUAGGCUGGGCAGAGCAAUGACAAGCUAAAAACAAAACAAAAACAAGCAGAAUUAUCACAUGUAGUGCAGGAUAAAUUCUAAACGACCCAAAUCUGGAUGGUAAAAUACUUGGAGUUGGAAUUAAUAGGAUCGAUUGAAACAUGGAUUUUUUUUUUAUUAGAUUGGUAUAUCUGACUUAAUUAAGAAGUUGUUUAAGACACAGUCAUUAGGGAAUUUCUGUAAUUGAACGUAGUUGUUUUCAUGAGGUUAAAUACAAUAAGGUGAUUCUAUGCCAAGAAGUGAUUUUAUAUGGACACAUUGUAUGAUGUAAAAUGGUAAAAGGAGUACCUGUUCCUGUCCAGCCUUAUGUUUUCUGAGUCUUGCUUAUUUUUCAUUAGUCAUAUGAAAGAUGCUGCAAUAUCGUGGGAUCAAAAUAGCUAAGAAACUGGACGUGGACAUCUUUAUUCUAUAGAGCGUAUGUAAAAGUAAUUUAGACUUUAUUAGUUUAUAUUAAUCCUUCACUUCUGUUCAUAUAUUGUAAUUUCUAUAUGGUUUGUCCACAUUUGUCUUAGGAGACUCUGGGGCUGCUUAAAUUUUAUAUAUUCAGUUGCAUAGAGUCGGCAUGACAUGCACAGCGAUUGUCAGAUUGCCACCCUUAGUUGGUGAUAUUUUCUUUACAACACAUUCAAAUUGAGGAUUUAGAAAAUCUAAUAAUAAAACUCAAACAUAUGUUCGAUGCUUUUUGUUUUCAUUUUCGGUUAAAAGGUUUCAGCUUUGGAUUGGGAUUUACCUUUAUUAAUCUAUAAUUUUGUGCUCAGGACACCAUCUUGGGGGUCUUAACAUGAUUGUUCUUCUAUUUCAUAGACUCAAAACGUGUCUAGUGUUUCAUUGAAUUGGUAUACCUUUGCUCAUUUAACUCAAAUUUAAUACGGUUUGGUCCUCCAAUUUCUCUAAAUUGCCAACGGAUUUAUUUUCUUUGGAAAUUUCAGGAACUCUGGUUGUGGUAGGAACAAGCCGGCUCCUUGCUAUUUUUAGGUAUAUGAUUAUGUGCCCUGAUUGCAUGUUCAAAGUCUAAUUAGUUAUAUAAACUUUUAAUUUAUCUUUGCAAAGCUUUUGUACUUGGAUUUUAGUUUAGAUAUGCGAUUUGUUUGUGAAAAAUUAACGAGAAGACUAAUCAUGGGGACAUUCUUAUUUCUGAAAUUUUCUCUUCAGCAUUGUUUCUUGAAUAAAUUUGGAUUGGUAGAUGUAGGGGUAGAGUAACCCCCGUGGUGUAAAUAAAAGGUAUAGGCGUAAUGAUUUCUAGGUUUAGAAUUCAUUGAAAAAUAUGAUAUAAUGCUGCGUUCUCUAAUAUUUUUUUUUUUUUUGGCUGUUUGCUGUUCUAAACUUUUGAACUCCUUUUUGGAUUGAUCUUUGUUAUUUUUGUUUUUGGGGGUAUCUGAUUGGUCAAGGUUGCCCAAUCUUGGUUGUACUUUUUCCCAAGACAGGGCACAUUUGAAACUUUGAAUUCUUGAGUUUAUAUUUUAAUUCUCAUUAGUUAAUGCUUAAUAUUUGGCCUUUUAUUUUGAGAUUAGAAUGAAUACGUUUGGCCUGAAAGACAGUAAACUGAAUUAAAAGCUGGCUUAUUUUCCAUUGGCCAUCAAUUAGGGUGAGAAAACAUUGAAUUGAGAUCAUUAAACAGCACUUAUAUAGGGCACUAUACCAAAUGAGCUCGAAGAGGACUCAGCAAUUGAAGAACAAUUGAUGGCAUACACCUUGGACAUGAUUAAGUUAGUUGAACAUUAUACUAUAACAAGUACAUAUUUCUGGAGUCAGUUUCACACGCAGACACGCACACACACAUCUGACGUAAAGUUAGUCUAUUAGAUGGUUUCCAGAUUGACCCCCCCUUGCCAAAUCUAUUUCAAGGCUGGAAGGAGAGUUAAAACAUAUGUUAUUGUCUUAUAUGUUUGUAUUUGAAUGGUAACGAUGUUGUUCUUCUGGUGGAAAAUUUUUCCUUUGAAUCCAUUUCAGCUUAGGCUCUACUUUUUUUUUUUUCAUUUCAGCUUCAUUUUCAUGUUCAUCAUGUCCUGUUGGUAUGUGUUUUGUGUUGGCAUUGGAGGGUGGUGGGUUGUCGUUUUGUUUUUCUUUUCUCUGAUUGUAAGACCUUCUAACGAUUGAAUUUAUUUUAUGCUGAAACACUCAUUUUGAUCCCCUAGUUUGAGUUUUUCAGUUACGUAUCAAUACUUAACUGCUGGAUUUUUCUUAAGGAAAUUGGAUAUAGGCUAUAUACUAUGUGUAAAAGUCAUGGAGAUCAAGUUUUGUGCUUUCAUUUGUCACAAUGCAGUUUUUUGUUUUCAUAAAUCAAGUUUUGUGCUUUCAUUUUUCUUUUAAAUUUUAAUUUGUCUUUCAAUCAGUUUUUUGUUUGAGAGAACUCUUAAUUUUCAUGGAAAUAUAGUUAUUUGUGAAUAUGGAAACUUGAAUCUGUGUAGACAUCAGAGUUCUUAUGGUUGUGAUAUGAAAUUUAAAUACAAACUUCCCAAUUUGUUUUUGGAAUUUUAACUAAACUUGCGUUGUAGGUAGAUCAUGCUAUUAAGAUAACAAAAAAAUAGGUAGAUUUGUGUAUGCAAUGAGUUGUAGUGAACAUUUGGCAGUAAUAGAAAUGGUUUAGGUGUGCACAGUUUUGGCCUAAAUGGUUAUCACACGAGCGUAAAUGUUUGUUUCAUUUGUGAUUGAACUCGAAUUUGUUGGAAAGCUUUUCAAUUUAUGAAUAUGGAAAGCUUUUCGUCUUUACUUCUAAACUUAUUUUCUGCUUGGUUGUUGAGAAGGUGAUGGAAAUAUAGUUAUCUGUUAAUAUGGAAACUUGAAUCUGUGUAGACUCCUUGGGUUGUCUGUUGUGUUCAGUGGAGGUUUAGUGUUUUAAUUUUGAAUGAUUUGUUUUUCGUUUCAUGGAAAUGACCUAUUAUUUGAUUUAAUUGAGUAAUUUAAUGGAAGUAUAUUCUCUUUUUUUUCUUUUCCAUAUUUCGUUUUGUCUGCAACCAAACAGGGUAAGGAACUGUAAUCUUUUUAAUUACUCUGCUAUCUCCGUGAGUUAUGAAAAUCAGACCUUUUGUUUUAUUUCUGUAUAUGUAGUUCCGAAGGAAUCAAGUGCCAAAAUUAGAAUAAACAUCCUUUAGUCAAGUUACGCACUUUUCCAUAGAAUGUUUGGUUUAGGGAUCCCUUAUACAAGCACAAUAUUCUUAUGUAUUUAAAUCGUAGUUGACCGUCAUGGUUUAAUAAGUGUGAAAACUGUCUUUAAGUCUUAACUAUACCAUUGGAGCGAUACAGUUUUAGUUAUUUUAUUGGAUCCGUUUGUUAGCGCUUUGAAUUCUUACUCUGAAUCUCACUCAUUUUUUGCAGUUUAGAUUGGACUCUCAUCACGGCAUUGUAAUCUGCUCUUGCUGCUGCGAUUAAUCUAACGGUUCUGAGGCGUUGCAUUUGAAUCAAGACUUCGGUAUGCUAGCUGAACUUAAAUGCAUUCUUUUCCCAUUCUUUCCGUUUGAGGCAGCGCAACUUUAUGAUCUUUUAUAUUGAUUGUUUGGUUUGAUCACCUUUUGUUAUUCGUUUGCUUUAUGCUUUGUUUUUCAUUCUUGGUUGUCUCUGUGAUUGUCUCAUUGUCCAGAGGUCGGAUGGUUAGUUUUUUAUUUUUUUUGUUCUAAUUUUGUUUGUGCAAUUCCGUUAUUGUUUGAAGGCCCGUUGCUAUCUCUGUGAUUCUGGUUUAACCCGGUGCUCUUAAUUCUUUAUCGGAUGUUGUUGGUCAUUUUAUCUCUUUUAUUUUGUAUUGGUUGGUUGGUGUUUUCGUUUGGUUUUCUGAUGGUGAACUAUCUCAUCCUCCCCGAAGUGUUUUAACAUGUUUUGUUGAUAAUUGCGCUCUCUAAACGAACUCGACAUUUUUUUAGAAAAAUCACAACUUCCAUAUUUAAGAAAAUGUGUGGCUUUUUAGCAAUGCAUGAAUGCAGCUAAGAUGUUCUGAAAAAUUCAUGGAUAUUUUACAUUCAAACCACAAGUAUCAUUAACUUAUAAAUAAUUAAGUUAUGUAUUUUCUUUAUCGGCUAUCACUUCAAAAUUUGAACUAAAACACUGUCAAAAAGCUUUUUGGUUGUGUUUUCCUUAUUCAUUAUGUAAGUUUCGCAAAUCUUCUACAUGCUGCAUAUUUUUUUGUUUGAACAUCUAUGGUUGACGAGUUACCUGCUCAAACGCCACUUUUUCUGUGUUUUGCUAACUGCUAAGUGAGUUAUGUAGGUUGCAAAGCAUAUAUUUGGCCGUCUUAACUGCAGGGGCAAAAUAUGUGUGAAUUGCAGCUUCCUUCUGUUUCUACAGUUUCAUAUAUGGAAACAGGCCUUCUGUUUUUUUUUUUUUUUUUGCCUUUGAACAAUUAUGGUUCCAAAAUUAGCUACUUGAACAAGUCCUCAACACUUUCUGCUUUAAAUUACCUGUUGAACUAGCUGCCUACACUGCAGGACACAUGUUAUGUGUGAACUAAAUGUUUCUUCUUUUUCUUAAGCAAACGGAAAUUGUUUGGAAACCAUCUCUUUCUAAUCAAACACGUACAGUUUCUUCCCACUCAUUGUGCAUUGUGUUUAUAUGCCAACUCACUUAAAUAUGUAUAACAGCACAAUUGCUUAUCUUAUUGGGCUCAUUCACUCAUGUAUCCCUCUGUUUGUUUGUAAUUGUGUUGAAUUUAUUCAACUUAAAUGUGUUUUAUCCAUCCGAUUACGUCUGAAACAGUGGUUCCCGCAGCAGCGUGCGGGCGUAUUUUCUAGUUUUUAACAAAAUUUUGCAAACUAAAUGACACGAUUGUUGAUGAGUGGAUUAUUAUUUUAGUGUUGAUUAACAUGCUUAUUUUAUUGUGGUGACACAUCAUUUAGUUUGCAAAUUUAGUCUCCUUGUCAUUACCUAUUUGUGUAUGAUGGCGGAGGCAUCAAUAAUUAGUUCUCACCAUUUGAAUUUGUGCAAUUGUGACAACAGAUCAAGCUUCCAAAUCUCCAAGGAACUAGUCUUUGACUGUUGAUCUUCCCUUCGUCGAGUCUGUAUUUGUUGAUCAUAAGCGGAGUCAGAUUUGAACUUCCCUGUAAGUUCUUAUUAUUCACUGAAUAAUACAUUAGUUGUUUCUCAUUUUAUUUGAACUACUUUUUAUUCAUUUGUUUCUUCACUUAAUUUGUGCAGCUCUUCACCUCAAUAUUGCUCAAGAACGCUUCCUUAUUUCUUUGGUUGCUUGGAGUUCUCAGCGCUCCUAAGAUGCCACUUGGAGAGGUUUUUCUUGCGGCGUUUCUACAGUUGCUGCUUGACAGGUUGACCCCUCGCGACAUUCUCAACUACUUUGGAAACUUCCGGGGUGUUGGAAAGAAGCUGGAGAAGUGGAGGGCCACGUUAACUACAAUCGCAGCAGUGCUGAGCGACGCCGAUGAAAGACAACGGACUGACGAUGCUGUAAAACUAUGGCUCAAUAAUCUCAGAGACCUUGCUUAUGAUGUCGAAGACAUGUUGGACAAAUUUGCGACUCAAAUGUUGAAGCGCACGAUAGAGGGACGUGAUCAAGCCAGCACGAGCAACAAGGUGCGAAACUCACUUUUCAAAAUUAAAUUGAAUUGGAAUAUGAACUCCGAAAUGAAGAAGAUUACGGAGCGGUUACAAGACAUAUCUGACCGAAAAGUUAAGUUUAGCUUGAAAGAUACUGGGACGUCUGCUAAGGAAUCGCGAAGUCUACCAUGUUCAGGCGUGUUAGAUGAAAAGCUUCUUGUUGGAAGAGAUGGUGACAAAGGGAAGAUUAUUGAAUUGUUGAAAAAGUCUACCAAUUUUGGUGUGGUUGCUAUAGUUGGCAUGCCCGGAGUUGGGAAGACGACACUUGCUCAACUUGUAUUCAACAACAAAGAUGAUGCCAUGAAGGAGUUUGAGCUCAAGGUCUGGGUAUCUGUGUCCGAUGACUUCGAUGUUGUGCGAGUGACAAAGGCAAUUCUUGAAUCAAUGAAACCCCUACCCGUUCAAGUGGAGGAGUUUAGUAAAAUGCAGCAUGAUUUGAGUGAGCAAUUAAGAGGAAAAAAGUUUUUAAUCGUUUUAGAUGAUGUUUGGAACAAAGGUGACCGUGAUCUAAACGAUCUCUGGUUAAGACUUAAAUCCCCUUUUGGCGUCGGAGCAGGAGGAAGUAAGAUUAUUGUGACAACCCGUGAUUUAAAUGUUGCAAAGAUUAUGGGAGCCACUGGAUUUCAUAAUUUGGAAUGUAUGGCAAAUGAUGAUUGUUUGGAAAUAUUUGAGCGACAUGCAUUCGGGGAAGUUAAUAGUGGAAAACCAGUAAAUUAUGAGUUAAUUCGGACAAAAAUUGUUGAAAAAUGUUGUGGCUUACCAUUAGCUGCGAGGACUCUCGGUGGUCUUUUACGUUGCAAAGAAACAGAUGAGUGGGGAGAAAUAUUGGACAACAAACUAUGGAAUCUCGCAGAUAACUGUAACCUUCCCCGCGUACUAGAGUUGAGCUAUCACUAUCUUCCAUCACAUUUGAAGAGGUGUUUUGCCUAUUGCUCAAUACUUCCAAAUGACUACGAAUUUGGGGAGAAGCAGCUCGUCCUUUUGUGGAUGGCAGAGGGUUUGAUUCAACAAAAACCUGACAACAAUAAACAAAUGGAGGAUUUGGGCCGCGACUACUUUCGAGAGCUAUUAGCAAGGUCGCUGUUUCAAGAAUCAAGCAAAAACAAUUCACGAUAUGUAAUGCAUGACCUCGUUUCUGAGUUAACACGAUGGGCUGCAGGAGAAAUAUGUUUUAGGUUGGAAGAUAAGCAAGGUGAUAACUUGCAAAGCACUUGCUUUCGAGGGGCUCGCCAUUCGUCUUUCAUUGCUGGUGAAUUUGAUGGAGUUAAGAGAUUUGAGGACUUUCCAAAAGCUGAACGUUUGCGAACAUUCCUGCCACUUUCGCUUUCAUAUUCCACGGGAUGGUUAAAAUUUUUGUCUCGUCAGGUUACUUUUAAGCUAUUACCACAGUUGCAAUACUUACGAGUGCUCUCGUUCAAUGACUACAAAAUAACUGCGCUGCCAGAGUCAAUCGGUGAUUUGAGGUUGUUACAGUAUCUUGACCUUUCCUACACAUAUAUAACUAGUUUGCCUAAAUCGAUAAGUACUCUUUACAACUUGCAGACAUUGAUAUUGGAACACUGUUACUAUUUGAAGUCAUUGCUUGCGGACAUGAGUAAUUUAAUUAAUUUGCGCCAUCUCAACAACUCAUAUGUAUCUUCGUUGGAAGGAAUGCCUCCAAAUCUAGGUAGCUUGGUGAAUCUCCAAUCUUUGCCUAAUUUUGUGGUCAGUGGUGGAAGUGAUCAAUCAGGAAUAAGAGAGAUAGGGCCCCUAUCGCAUCUCCGAGGGACAUUGUGCAUCUCAGGAUUGGAGAAUGUGACUGAUGUCGAGGAUGCCAGGAGGGCCAACUUGAAAUGCAAGGAGAGGCUUGAUUCGUUGGUCCUAAAAUGGUCUCAUUCAAGCGACACGAGAGAAACGGAAUCCGUUGUGCUUGACAUGUUAGAGCCUCAUACAAAGCUCAAGGAGCUCACCAUCAAGAGUUAUGCCGGAGAGGAAUUUUCAUCAUGGGUUGGAGGUCCUUUGUUCUCUAAUAUGGUGCUUGUGUGCUUACAGAAAUGUAACAAUUGUUUAUCGUUGCCUCCUCUCGGACAAUUGCCUCAUCUCAGGGAACUUUAUAUUAGUGGAAUGAAUGCAGUGGAAAGUGUUGGUGCUGAGUUUUAUGGAGAGCGUAUGUUGCCUUUUCCGGUAUUAGAGACUCUUGAGUUUGUGGAAAUGCAGCAUUGGAAGGAAUGGCUUCCUUUCCAAGCCGAUCACGAAGGUGGUGCUUUCCCUUGCUUGAAAACACUCUUAGUAAAAAAAUGUUCUAAACUGGAGGGUAAACUGCCAGAGAACCUCAAUUCUUUAGCUAAGCUUAAAAUUGUUGAAUGUGAAGAAUUAGUGGUUUCAAUUGCCAACUGCAAACAACUUCGUCAAUUAAACAUUGACGGUUGUAAAGUGUUGGUGCAUACAGCUGCUAAGGUUGAGUUUGAGUUGUUAGAGUCCUUGUGCCUUUCAAACAUUUCGGAGAUGAUGUCUCUGCAAACAGGGGAGUUGUUGAAGAAGGGAUUAACCAAGGUUAGAGAUUUGAAGAUCAGUGGAUGUGAGGAGGUGACGUCUUCACUGAAGAAUGAGGAGGGUAGAUUAUUGCAGCAGUUGACUUCUCUUGGCAGUUUGGAAAUUGAAGACAACUCUCGUCUAGUUGAAGAAUUGGGAAAAGAAGCUGAGGAGUUGCAAAUAUCGGAGUGCAAGCUUGAAUUUCUGGAGUUAAAAAAGUGCGAAAAUCUUUCGAAGCUACUAAAAGGAUUAAAUCAGCUGUCGUCUCUUCAAGAGCUUCGCAUACACGAAUGUUCAAGUCUAGUUUCUUUCCCAGAUGUUGGUCUACCUUCUCUUAAAGACAUCCAGAUUACAUCGUGCGAUUCGUUGAUAUAUUUUGCAAAAUUCCAGAUUCCCCAAAAUCUCAGAAGAACAGAGAUAAAAGAUUGCAAAAGUUUGAAAUCACUAGUAGAUGAGGAGGCUGUUGGUUCUUCUUGGUCGUCUUUUUCUCAUAGUUGUCUUGAGUAUUUACGUAUCCGAGGUUGUGAAUCUCUGAUGUCGUUAUCAUUGAGUGGCCAGCUUCCCAGGACACUUAAACACCUUGAUUUAGAGAAUUGUGACCGACUGGAGCUAAUCGCAGGGGACGGGUUCUUCCGCGACAACACUAAUGAUUGUCUUGAAUAUAUUAGGAUCUGGAAUUGUCAAAAUCUGAAAUCCUUACCGGAUGGCUUAUGCCACCUCAGCAAUCUUCAAACUCUAGGUAUUGGGAACUGUGGAAGUCUUGUUUCCAUCCCGAGACUGAGUGGGGGGAGAAGACCCUCCAACCUGAGAAAGAUCUGGAUCAUCGGAUGCAACAAAUUGGAGGCGUUGCCCGAAGACAUGCACAAUCUCAACUCUCUUGAGGAAUUGAGCAUCGACUACCGUGAAGGUUUGACUUUUCCUCCCAACCUAACAUCACUUGAAAUUGGGAAGGUCAAGAGCUGCAAGUCAUUGUGGGAGUUGGAGUGGGGGUUGCACAGACUCACCUCUCUUAGGGAGUUGGGAAUCCGUAGUACAGACCCGGAUACGGUGUCGUUUCCACCCGACAUGGUACGGAUGGAGACGCUCUUCCCCAAAUCUCUCACUAACCUCUCAAUAGAUGGCUUCCCGAAUCUGAAGAAACUGAGCAGCAAGGGCUUUCAAUUCCUCAC